rnacentral:lncRNA from 1 species
ACUGCUAGCUUUUUCCUAUACAUAAACAUUUUUUUUGCUUAAGUGUUAGUUUGAAAGCAAUAUAAGAAAUGUUAUAACUUUGGAGAAGACAAGCAUUAGUUUGCUUCAAAGGGUGUGAACAUUGCUACAAGCGCGAGCUCUAAUACCAAAACUUUUCCUGCACCACUAGCAUGCCACAUGGCAUGGGGGUUGGUGCAGCCACCCGUGAAUGCAGUUAUUAGGUACUCAACCUACAGUUUAGACAAACAGAUGUUGUAGCAUUAUAACGUCCAUGGUGGGGGAGGGAGUUUGUUACAUUAUAUAUGUUAAUAGCGGGUAUUUAAAUAGCAAAAGCAGCAGGGAGCCCUGGUCCAGGAGCGACCAGCAACUAGCGGAAGCUUUGCAGGAUGUGAGGGAGUAAGAACUAAGGACUCGUUUAGUUCGUGGGAAGAAUUUUGUCUCACUAGAAUGUUUUUUCUAAGAAGAUGAUUUCUAGGAAUAUGAUGCAUGAAAAAAUGGUUUUGGCAUGUUAAGUUGAUUAUGGAAAAGUGGCACAUUCUAGAAUGGCUUAUGUCAGGGAAAGUUGUAUAAAAUACCUUUAUAUCCUUAAUAAAGGGAAAGGUCUUUUCUAUGAAUUUUGAUGGCUUAAGGGUACUUUUGGAGAAAAAAAGGAAACCCCAAUUUUCAAUUGCCAAAGAAGUGGCUUUUCUAUUCUCCCAUGGGUUUUUCUUUUUCAUAAAACAUGGAAAUCUUAUUUUCAUGGGAAAGCUAUUUUCUUAUCUCUCUUUUUUGAAAAUUCCAACCAAACAAGAGGUAUUUCUUUGUUUUUCUAUUGACUGCACUUUUUUCUUCUUCUUUUCUAGCGAACCUAACGAGUCCUAAGAAGGAACCAUAAGAUGAGAGAAAGUGAGAUCCUAUGACAGCAAACAAUUUGAUACUUCACCAAAAAUAUGAAUCAACCAACACUUCUAAUCAAGGUUCGUCGAAUCGGUACGGAGACCUGUACCGGUUGGCGAUCGGUACGGUUCAGUACCGGUUCGAACCGAAUGGAACCGUCCGGUUUUGUCAAUUUUCGGCCGGUUCCGACCACAUCCAAUCAGGGCUAGGGGCCGGAACUGUUUUUCAUUGGAGAACCGAUCCGGUCGGAGACCGGAUCGGCUCGGUUUGGGUUGAACCGGCCGGUAUAGCUCGGUUCAGCAAUCAUUGCUUCCAACUAAUACUUCUGCCUAGAUAUAGUAGGUUGGCAACCAUCUUGCAUUGUGACCAUUGGUCAAUAAAAAGCAUGGCAGCUGUUUAACACACCUUAUGCUACGAGGAAACUUAGGGAGUAUUAUAACAUUACCAAAUUGAGAAUGUUGCUUGUUUUUAGACAUGUUAUGUUUCAUAUUUUUCAAUUUUAAGAAUAUUAUAAAAUUAUUGCAUACACCUCUAUGGUUUGAGAGACAGAAAGCGAACAUUAAUCAUUAUAAAUCCAAUUUUUAUAAAGAUUGAGAAUAGAUAACAUUGUGUUUUGCAAAUGUGACCUUGAAGUGUUCUUCCAUUUUCAGUUCAAUUGCUUAUUAUUUAUGAUGGAGUGUGCAAGGUAAUUGUGAAUAUCUGAUAUGCAUAGACAACAUUGAGAAGUUAUUUACGUUAUCUCUAAACUGUGAAAAUGCAAGGUAAUUGACAUAUUUGAUACUCAAAUCAAUUUUUCCAUCAAUUAUCCAAAUUGGUUGUUUGCAAUCUGGCUUUCACAUCAACCGCGCCAAAUCAUCCAUGGCAUGAUAAUUAAGAGGUGAAGUAUGCUAUCUUUUAGUUGUUUGUAAUCUCGCUUUCACAUCAACUGCGCCAAAUCAUCCAUGGCAUGAUAAUAAAGAGGUGAAGUAUGCUAUCUUUUAGUUGCAUUUCCUUUUCUAGUUUUCAAUCAAUUUUCUUAAUAAAAAGGAAUUUUUUCAAUUUUUGGUCAUGAAAAUAAUGUUGCCUGACUAUGAACUGGAUUUUAAUAAAUUUCUUAAACGAUUAAGCUAUUGAACUACUCAUGUAUAGCAUGUUUCGGUUUCCUUUUUUUUUGAUGUAAAGGGAGGCAAAAAGGAGCCACCCAAUUUCAGUUUCCUAGUAAUGCAUAAUGAUCAAGCAAUGCGAGUUCUCCUGUUGGACAUUAUAUACUAAUUUAAAGAGUAGAUUACAAAAUCCCCUUAAGGUUUAUCUUUAUUAUACUUACACUUAAUUAUUUGUAAACCAACAAUUUUACCUAGUCAAAUUAACGGUGUUAGUGAAAGCUUUACCUCAUAUAAAAAAUCAAAAUUGCCCUUGGAUGGGAAGGAGGAUGCACAUGUUUUCUUAUGUCCUUGGGUGGCCGUUAUGUCACUUAAAGUUAUUGUGGUCAUUUACGAAAUUUUUUCUGACAUAGCAUUUAGGUCUCGUUUAAGGUUAACAGUUUGAUAAACGUUUUGUUAAGUUAUGGGUUUAAGUGUUGGAUAGAAAUAAACCUUUGGGAGUAAGCAUAGUUUUUUCAAACUAUUAAAUGUAAGAAUAAUUUACCCCUAAUCUUAGGGGUUUUUUGUAAUUUACUCUAUUUUGAAUUGAUGAAAGUCGAUAAAGUCCUAUAAGCAAUGAACCCCCUAUAGUUAGAAAGCACCUGCCUAGGCUUAAUGUAUCCCGUGUUCAACUUGCUUAGGUCUAGCUGCCCAGGUUUAUGCAGGCCAACCACCUAACUAGUGCCAAGCAAACUGCAUGUACCUAGGUGUCUCAAGUGAGUUAAAUUUGACAAUUUUUCCUUUUCUCCUCAAUUGGUUGGGUAUUAGGCAGACAGGUUAGAGUACUAACCAUUUAGGCCACGAGGUCAUAGCUCCUUGUCUCUUACUGCUGCUCCGAAUCCUUAGUUACAAGUUAUAGGUCCCGUAAAAUCUUUUGUUAAUUGUAAUUUCAGCUUAAAAUUGGCUGCUUGUCAUUUGGUAGAGUUGCCUGUUGCAUUAAAUUAUAUUGGACACUUGUUCUUCUGGAUGAUUAAUAAAUAUUUUUCAAUAAAUUUAGGAAAAAAGUAAUGUUAGUAGUUAAUGUCUUGCUAAUCUCAUUUAGGUCCUUAGGAUAAUUUACAUCUAUGUACGGAUUUAAGGAUGUGCCUGACUUUUACCUAAGUGUUGACUUGCUGCAUAAUAUAACUGCCUUUUAAAACAGCCGAAGCACUAGCAGACCACUGUAAAAGUCAGCACUUAGGUAAAAGUUGCAUUUUUUGUCUAUGCACGCAUUUACCUAUGUGCCUCACUUAGCUAUAUGGGCCCAAGCAUCAUGUCUAUUUAAGCACAAAGCUUGGUGACUCAUGCUGCUGUGCAACACCCUUUUUAAAGAACCAUUUUUUUAUAUAUUAAUGACAGUUUAAGUAUCUUCUUUCUUGAUGGAUGGAACCAUUUAUUCAAGUUUUGUACAACAUCAAGAUAGACUUGGAAGCAGAAAGAAACUGCACAACUGCCAACUCCAGGCUCAGGAAUCUCCAGCAAAGCCUUUCUGCAAUUAGGAAAAAGGAAAAGACUGUACUAGCAAGGAGCUUGUAUUUCCCCUCCACAUCCCAGUAGUUGUGCAAUGAUUUGUCUCUGAGCAUUGACAAUCCUAUCUAUGAUUCUAUAUGCACUAUGUACCGACAGAUUUCCAUGGGUGGAAUUGAAUGUUUGGGUGGGGGAGUGGGGGUUCAAGUUCUUAUUCUGAAAAGCAGGCGUUGGUGAAACAAAUGAUAAAGAGAAAACACCCAGUAUCGAUAUCAAUGUUGCAAAACCAGUGCAUAUAUGACUGCCAUAAAUUGGUUGCUUCUCUUUGUAUGGAGGGUGUGGGCAGGUGUCCUUUCAGUGAAUUCUUUAUUUGAUUACUGCUGGUUCAGAAAUUAAAAAGAAAAAUAUAAUGAUUCAACAACCUUCAAAAGUGCCCCUUUUCUUUUUUUAUUUACUAAUCUUUUGCAGAUGAAUACCCAACUGCAUUCUUUUAUUUUUUUUAUUAACCAAGUGAUAGACAGAUAAUAAGGAAUUAAGGACCAAAAAAUCUUUGCAUGGAAGCAUGUUCAUGGAGGGGAAAAAUGAGUGAAGUUGUCGAGAUCAGACCCUGGAAUAUGUGGUAUGAUGAUAUGGUUACGAGGAACCGUCAAAAUGUGGCUGUUGAUAUCAUGGCCGGAGGCAUAGGGCACCAUCAAUGCAGAAUUUUCUGAAAUUUGUUGUAACAUGCUUGUUUAGCUAGCUACUGUAUCACGAAAUCAGUUUGAACAUUUUGAUAUUUCCAAAUUUCCUUUUUGUUAUUGUUAGUUCUUGUCAAACAAGUAGCUGGAAUAACCACUAAUUGAAAUCUGAAACUUCUUAAAAUGUCAUCCACCUUGGUUGCCCUUAAUGCAUCUAGCAUCAUGAUUCUGGGAUCAUCAAGUUGAAUAAUUUCUUGUUUGUGUAUACAUUCAAAGACAUAGUUUUUGCUACUUUUAGUGCGAAAGAAAUUAGUCAUUAUUUCUGCUGGACAAGUAAAUUCAUGAAAGUGACUUUGAUAUACUAGUGAGUUUGUUUGGUCAGUCGCAUCUUGAAAAGCUAGUCUUUUUUUGAUUUUUUCUUUUAAUGACUUUGUUUUCAUUUUGCAGGUUAAAAAUCUGAUUGAAAAACCUGAGAAUGAUCAUCUGCCAUUGAUUGAAGCUAGCAGGUAUGGUACUGGCGCUGCAUUUACCUUUUCUCAUCCACGAUCACUAAUUUUGAAGAAUGAUUGACAAUUGACAAAAUUUUGCACCCAAGUUGAACUUUCUGCUCAGUUUUACAGGUUUAGAAGGGUUGGGAUUUGGUACUGGUAUUGGUGCUUACUAGUUUGUGACUUCAUCAAUUUGUUCUCUUACAAUCUGAGUUGAGAAGAGAGCAUCAUGAUCAUUUUAUAAUGUUUCAACCCAUUGUUGGAUCCAUAGGAUCAGCUGAUCAUACCCAUUUUCAACGCUGCUUAGGAAAUUGGAUGCCUGAUUGCUGUUGUAUCACGACUCUUUCUUCCACCAUGAGCGAAUUGUUGAAAGACUUAAAUUGCAUCAACUCCUUUAUUGUUCUAGGAUUAUGACCAUUAAGAUUAUAAUAUGAACAAAAUGUAUUCCAGUUCUUGCAUGCAUACUGCCGAAAUCUGACUGUCUCCCUCUUUCAAGUACACAAAGAAAAGCACUGCAUUUUACUCUAAUUGUAGACAAAAAUCAUUUUUCCUGAAUUGCUGAUAAUAAUUUCAAGCUGUGAAGAAUAAUUGGAUCAAUUCUGUAAAGAAUCAGGCUGCAUUAAGUUUUAUGUCAUGGUGAAGCUGUCCUACAUUAUACAUGGCUUGUGGUGGCUCAGCCCUCAUUUACCACAUUUACUUUUUUGGAUUGUCAUUAUUUGUAGGAAUAAUAGGAAAUGCAGGGAAAAGAAGACUUUAUUUUCUUAGUUCAUGAUACCCUUCUAAUAUUCUUUUGCAUUGUGAAUGAAUGAUAUAUUUUCGAGUCUCUUUCUAGAAGGGAAUAGAUAUUCUGCUAACACUUUGGUGCUGGAACAACAGGCUGUGCAACAUGGACAUUCUCUCAAAGGUACAGCAAGUCAUCUGUUUUGCAUUUCAUGACAGCAGAUUGCUCAUGGAGACCUGCCAGGAGGCAAAGAAUCUUCGAAAAAUUGUUACUCUCUUUUACUUGGAUUGAUCAUAUACAUUGAUAAGAGAUUCUAACAUUUGCUUUUAGGCUGGCAGAUGGGGAUCCUUCCCUCAAUUAUUACUUUGUUUUCUUAUCAAUGUUUUUUGGGGAAUUAGAUGUAUUUGUCCUGGGGAUAGAAGGGAGGCAUUUCAUUAUUUUCAUUCUUGGAUAAAAGGCAGCAGAAGAUGCAAUGAAGUUGUCAUUGUUUAUUGGUGCAUGCAAGAAAUUUAUAUUGCUGUCAAUGGCUAUAGUUUUUGUCAGAAAUAUUUUGUUUAUUUCCGAGUCAUAAUUCCAAAGCAAGCUAUAACAGGAACUUCUCUCUCCCCCUCUCUCAUACAAUGUUAUCGGAUCUUUAGGGCUUGGCAGAGUUUUAGUUGUAUACAGUCAAAAACUUCAUAAGGACAAUUUCAGCUGUAAAAUUUUUGCAGAAAUGACCUACUCUAUUUUUAUGUUUUUUAAAUCAAUUCUGAACUUAUUUGUUUUUUCUGCAAAACUGACCAUUUUUUAAAUUUUUGGACACUUUUAUCCUUGCUUCAAAAAUAUACACUCUAGAGUCUAGACAUUGCACACUUAACAAAUGCGAAUUCAGCAUUAAAAAUAUUUAUAACUGUAUUAAGAAAAUGUAUGUGUGCACGCUUAACAAAUGUGAAUUCAGCAUUAAAAAUAUUUAUAACUGUAUUAAGAAAAUGUAUGUUUGCUAUCGAAAUAUGUGCAUUUAUUGUUUGUUUAUAAAAAACAAUGUGUAUUCAACUCCAUUUAGACAUAUGUUUUUGGCUGGAGUAUUUGCGCGAGACAUAUUAACGUAUCUUAAAAUUUUAAAAUUGGACUGUCCCUACCCCCCGCAAUAAAAAAACAGGAAAGGAAAAAAAAUCUGAAUGCCAAGAAAGAAAAAAAUGGUCUCUUAUGUGCAAAAUUCCAUUUUGUGUGGUAUCAGCUCAUAUUAAACAGGUUGUUGUUAAUGGUGGCUUCACUUUUCCUUUUUCACUUUUCCAAUAUUCUAUCCCCGUUAAUAAAUAGAGGUAAUAAUAUCUUCAGCUGGUGUUGGAACUUGGCCUUGAAUUUUCAGAAAUAAAAGAGCAACUCGAAAAAUUAUUGAAUAGGUUUGUUGGGGAAUAUAUCAGGUUGAAUUUAAUACUUGGAUCAGAUCAAAGAAAGAUAUAAUUUGUAUGUCACAAUUAUAUUCAUGUGAACAACCUUCCUAUCUGGUGAUCAUGGUAUAAUGAUGAAAAAUCUAGGGCAUGCGAUGGCAAAUGAUAAAAUAAUGAGCAGAUCUCUCAGAUAAUCGUUAAUUGGUUGGACGAGGUACAUAAUUAAGAUGUAGGCAUAUCUGGUUGGUAGAACUAUCGAAUGUUGGUGUCAUUGUUUUUUCAGGGUUUUUAGUAAGGGUUAUUGGGUAGUAAUCAUUCACGAAUGUAUUAAGUGGCGCCUCUGCAGAUUUUUAUCACGUCCUCUCUAAAAUUGCUACUUGUGUUAACCAUGGUUUGUUUGGUUUCCUCACAUGUACAAAAAGGUGAAUAUAGAUGGAAAUACAAUAUUUUUGAAUGCAAUGCAGUCCAUUAAACAUCAUUUUUAAAGCAAACUCCUUGAUUGCACUGAUUUGUCCAAAAUGUCUUGUAUGAUUUUCAUUUUUUUUUUAUAAUGAUCAUAUCUCUGAAAAUUGAUAAAAGAAAGCACAACAUAGUUCAUAUCUAAAUUGAAUAUCACAGAGAUGAAGUCCUCAAAUUCUUACUACAGUUCCAUUGUAAGUACAUUCUUCUCUAAACCAACAUACCCGAAAAAUAAUGUAUAGGAGCUAAAAUAAUGUAUAUAUUUAUCAAAUUAGUUGUAAUGCAUGUGAUAACUAAAAAUCUUAGAUAUAGGGUAUGUUUUAAUAAGAUUAUAAGUAUGGGCGAGGUAUUAACAACCUUCUUCGUAAAUUUUAAAAUUUAUUUUUUUUAUAUUUUUUUAAUCUAAAUAAAUUUGUAGAUUUUAUAUGAUCAUGAACCACUAUGAAUAUGAACUUUGAAGGAUAUAACAUUCUUAUUAAGUAUCAAUGUUGUUGGAAUUAUUUUUUUAAUAGAAACUUAGCAUGCUUCAAGAUUUUAAGUAUUUAUGGUAGAAAUCAAGUAAAGAAUUUCAAAAAAUUGAAAAUUUGUAAAAUGUAGCCACUGCUACAACCUACCUUUAACUUGUAAAAUAAUUAUAAAUCAAGUAAUUCACCUCUUCUAGAAUCAGAACGAGAGAAAGGAUCAGAUCUACAUCUCCGAUACUCGACAUUCAAUUAAAAAAUGAAUAAAUAGCAGAUUGUAGAUCCAAUUUUUUGCUGGUGCAUUCACUUGGAUCAUCAUUGCAUAUAUGGAUCUCCUUUAAAAAUAUUUUUUUUAAAAAAAUGAUCAAUUCAAUAAAUUGACACCCUCAAAUUAACUAUAUGUUACAAAAAAUUCAGGCAUAUUAACUUGCCUUGGGUUUUUUUUGUUGUUGAUAUUUUGACUAUUUCUUUCAGCCUAAGUAACAUGGAAAUCUACACCAUAAGCAACAUAAAACAAAAUUUCUAGCAGAUUGCAGAAUUGCAGCAAGCCAUUCACAUGCAAGCAAAACCAACCGGUCCGUAUCUUUCUUAGCGGCAGCAUCUCUGCCGAAUCCGACGGUCUUCUCUCGCCGAGGAGAACCAGGCCAAAAGAAGAAAAAUAAACCCUAAUAACUCUCUCCCCUCCCUCCGUUCCGACUCCAAAACCCGAGCUUUUUUUUCCCCCUCUACAAGCUCCCUUCCCUUCGAAUUCUCUCGUUGCCCUCCACAAGGCCUAGAUUCCUACUCCCCCUCUUCCAUGGCGAUCCGCUCAUCCCUUUGCUUCUGUAGACCCUAAUUCCUGCCCCAUGGAGUCGCUCCGAUCCAAGGAUCGGGCGGUCAUCGAAGCCUUCGCCGAGUUCGAUCCCGCGAAGUCCGCCGGCUUCCCUCCGUCCGUACCUCUCACGAUCCGGUGCGUCUCUGUCUUCGCCGCAUCGGAUUCCCAAACCCUAGUCUAUUUUGGCACCGGUGGCGGGAAGAUCAUCUUGGUGUCGUUGAAUCCAUCUUUAGCUUCCAGUUCAGGUCCCAAUCCCGCGACAGUAAAUGGAAACGGGAAGGAUUCGCCGGGUUGUGGUGUUGAUUCGACGAAAGCUGUGGAAUUUCUGAAAGCCGUGUCGGUCAGCAAUCGUUUGAUCGAAUCUAUUCACGUUCUGUCGGAGAUUGGUAGGGUUCUUGUGCUCUCUGAUGGGUUUUUGUUCGUGUUGGAUCUUUUUCUCGCGCAACCCGUGCGGAAGCUGGGUUUUAUCAAGGACGUGACGGCUGUCUCCAAGAGAAUUCCGUGCGCUGAGUCAUCGAGUUCGGAUCCUUUGGGUGAUGGAGUUCCGAAAGGUGAGAUCUUGAGGCCAGGGCAGAAGUUUUUUCAGAAGUUAGGUGGAAGCAUUAGGGCAAAUGGUAUAGGGUCUAGGAUUUCUGGACCCUAUAGAGAAGGUGCAAACAGUUGCAUUACAGCGGUGGCAGCAGGGAAAAGAUUGGUUUUGAUCGAGUUCCUCUUACCUGGAAGCGGUGAUACGGAUUCUGAUAGUGGUGGUGUUUCGGUACUUCAGAAGGAAAUUCUGGGCAUUGAUGGAGUCAGGACCAUGGCAUGGCUUGGUGAUUCGAUAAUUGUUGGCACUUCAGAUGGUUACACACUAUUCUCCGCCAGCACUGGGAAAAGCACUCCAAUCUUUAUGCUUCCUGAUUCUUCGGCCCCCCCUCGUUUAAAAUCUCUAUGGAGAAGCAAGGAGGUGCUGUUGUUGGUGGACAAUGUUGGUGUGGUUGUCAAUAGUCUCGGUCAGCCAGUUGGUGGGAGCUUGAUCUUUCAAUACAUCCCAGAGUCCAUUGCAGAGAUGUCUUCUUAUGUGAUUGUGGCAAGGGGUGGUAGGGUGGAUUUGUAUAGAAAGAAAACGAGUGCUUGUGUGCAGUCACUGUCAUUUGCAAAGGGUGGUGUCGGUCCGUGCAUUGUCGCCAUUGAUGAUCGAGGAAAUGGAGAGGUUGUUGUGGUUGCAACGCCUUAUAAGGUAGGUAGGUUUUGUAGAUUUAAAUCUUCUGAAGCUUCUCCUCAUUUCGGUUGAGUUUCAUGUAACAAGAUAAAUGCUACUCCAAUACAGAAGUUGGAUAUUACUGUACCUUACAAUUUUUUCCCCUUAUAUAUAGAUCAUUUGUGAUGUUGACAGUGUGUGGAGCAUGAGCAUGUCUCUUUUUUUUCUUUUCUUCUUUUAACAUUUUUGAAUGUGUGUGGUGGGGUGGGGUGGGGGUUGGGGUUAGGGGGUUGCAGCGUUGCACCGAUGGGUUGGACCUUUAUAUUAUGAAUCAGAUGUCAUUGAACAAAGAGAAGAGCCAUAACAUAUUGAAAUAGGGAGGAUACAAAGAAGUUGAUUCUGUUGGAAAAUUAUGCACUUUGGGAACAGGAUGUUGCCUACUUAUUCUUGAUUGGAUGGGAGUGGGACAAGCUGGAGGUGCAUUGGAUGUUAUUGGAAAGGGAAACAGAGAUAUGAGAUUAGCUAAAGACAAUACUCUAAGAUGACUUACAAAUAUAUAUAAUUACACAAGCAUCUUUUUGAGCCUAAAAUUGAAUGAAACAUAAAAAUAAAUGCUGAAAACUCAUUGGUGAAUGGUUAGGAAGCUGAUGAGAAGAAGGUUAUGCCAGUCGCUUCGAGCUACUUCCUGCAUCUAAAGAGGAAGCAAAGGUUAGUGAUAAAUUGAAAAGACAGAGGACUGGCGGUGCCACAAUGAAGACCGGUAUUUAUUGAAGUCCAGUUUUGAUAUGGUGCAACAGUAUUGUUUGGAAUGGUAAUGUAUAGGGUAAGGGGGAUGAAUUUUAGUUCAUCGUUAUUCUGUUGAAAGAAAACGUGAAAUAUGGUCUAGGAGGAUGCUGCAUGGAUUGUCGGGCAACUCCCACUGUGAAGGAUGACCUGUAGGAACUCAAUGAUAUUCGUACCUCUCAUUCCUUGUAAAGUGAGUGUUAGGUGGUGCAAGUAUGAGGUAGAACAUUUGUGGAAAUUUUGAUUAUGUGGUCUGAUGUAUAGGUAAGGCAACUGGUGUAAAUAUGGCAUAUAGCUUCAGUAGCUUUGCAAUGAAAAUUCUGUAAGUAGAGGGAUUUUUAAUGCUUUCGAGAAGACGAGAACAUUGUUACUAUGGGGCUCUAAUUGGUCUCAACUCAAAAAGAGCAUGCUUGAUUUUCUUGCUUUUCUUUUUCUGUGGUAGAGUGCUGGUGGGGGUGGGUUUAAUUAUAUCAUAUAGUUAAUAAUCCUGAAAAUAAGGAUGCUAUGCCUUGAGGUGCAAGUGUUUAGAAGGAUGUAGCUGUUAUAUUAUUCAAACGUAGUCUUGCUCAAACGAAAUUCCGGAAUAGUGAUUUGUAAUCAUAUGCUUCUUCUUCUUCUUAUAGCUUGCAUAUUCAUUUGUUUUUUGAAAAUUCUGUAUGAUGUGGAGCUUCUAUGUGUUAAAUUGACUGCUUCGCUAUGUUUUUUAAUGUAAUCUUUGAACUUUCUCAAAUAAGCAAUGAUAACAAGAAAUGAGUGUUCUGUUCUAUGUGUAAUUAAUCGAAAAAAGGCAAACUCAUAUUAUGCAUCCUUCGGGCAUGACAAAGGAUUGAUUUGCAGUUUAUAGAUUGUUUUAUCUGUUGCCUCUGUCUUCUAUUCUUGCUUUACAUUAACGCUACUAUUAAUUGACUGUCACAGGCUCUUUGCUUCUGUAAAGUUUCUGCAGAAGAACAGAUCAAAAAUUUAUUGAGGAAGAAGAAUUAUAAAGAAGCCAUCUGUUUGAUGGAAGAGUUUGAGUCUGAAGGUGAAAUGACAAAGGAAAUGCUUUCCUUUGUGCAUGCACAAGUGGGCUUCCUGUUGCUUUUCGAUUUGCAUUUUGAAGAUGCAGUAAAUCAUUUCUUGCUUUCAGAAACUAUGCAGCCAUCCGAAAUCUUUCCUUUCAUUAUGCAGGAUCCAAAUCGCUGGUCACAACUGGUAUAUGGGUGCCCUUUGAAUUCCUUUCAACAUUACUUCCAUUUGGAAAUAUCAGUCUUCUCUGAAUUAAAUUGAUUGUGCCUAAGAUUUUGCAGCUACUGCUGUUAUAUGAUUAAAUAGAAGAUUUUAAAAUUCAAACCCUAAUUAUGCUAAUUUUAUGUUUGUGAGAGCAUGGAAAUGGUUAGAAGGGCUGUUUAUACCUUGUGUGAGUCUACUAAUCCUUUAAAUGUUCAAUUUACCUUAUCAUUUAUCUGGCAAAGAAAAAUGAGGUUGUAUUUAUAUUACAAGAAAUUUACGUGGUCUGUGUUUCAUGAAACAAGCUUUUUCUUUAUUAUUUUCUUAAUGUCAUGCAUUUAAUUGCAAAAUCUCAAAUUCAAGCAUACUUAGAAUGACAGAUAACUUCUUUGCAAUAUAUGACAUACAUGUCCAGCAGCUUAUAGCUUUCUGAUUAUUUGAACAACACAUCUGGAGUUUAUUUUCCUCGUUCCUUUCUUUUUCUUUCUCAUUACAUUUGUCACAAUUGACAAUACAUAUUUUUUGACCUGUCCAUAUAAGCAUUUUAAGGGAAGUUUGUAUUGUACCAUAGACAGGUGUUGCCAUUUCUGGUCAUAGUUGCAGUAGUAACUACUUUAAGUCAUUGUCAUAUUUAUCUAACCGUCCUAUGGGUAACAGUAGUUACUAUGAAGCAAUCUUGUGUGGCUCUUAGUGUAUUAUUAUAGUAAACAAAUGCACAUAUUUAAUACUUGUGUUUAGUUUUUUUUCCAUUCGAGAAGUAAAGAAACAUGUGUUCCAGGUGCCAAGAAAUCGGUAUUGGGGAUUGCAUCCCCCUCCAGUACCUCUUGAACAAGUCAUUGAUGAUGGGCUGAUGGCCAUCCAACGUUCUAUGUUUCUGAGAAAAGCGGGGGUGGAUACUGUUGCAGAUGAGGAUUUUCUUUUAAAUCCACCGAGUAGAGCUGAGUUAGUGGAAUCAGCGAUCAAAAAUAUAAUCAGGUUUUGUUAUGAAUGACAUAUUGGAGUUUGUCAUAAUUCAUUAUUAUCUAUCUAUUCAUCCUUUACCUAUUCAUUCUACCUGCUUGCGGUCUAUCAAGAGUUUUUGAUUUUUUACCUAAAAACUAAUACAUUUUUUUUAUACUGUAGGUAUUUGUGUAUCUCUCGGGAUAAAGAUUUGAUUCCUCCUGUGAAGGAAGGAGUUGAUACUCUUCUGAUGUACCUCUAUAGAGCACUAAAUCUUGUUGGUGAUAUGGAGAAGCUUGCGUCAUCCCAAAACAGCUGUGUUGUGGUAUGUCUUAUUGUACAAGUUAUUUUUAAUUAUACUGUAGAGGUAUCUUGAGGCAUUUAGGUUGUGUAUUAGUUGCACAAUCAAACUUGAGUAGAGGCCUCAAGACCAUGUACUAUCUGUAUAUGUUGUUAAGCAGCGGGACCUUGUGUUCCUAUGCAUUGCAAAGAAGAUAAGGAUGUUGUCAGAAAGCUGCUUAAAGGAUGACCCUGCAACUUGCAUGGGCGUUGCAGGAGGAGUUAGAAUCGUUGUUAGAUGACUCUGGGCAUUUACGGACGCUUGCAUUUUUAUAUGCUAGUCAAGGGAUGUGCUCAAAGGCACUUACUAUCUGGCGUAUAUUGGCAAGAAAUUAUUCAACUGGACUAUGGAAAGACUCAGCAACUUCGGCAGAAUGUUACUCUCUGGAUAUUUCUACAGAUUCAAUCUCCGGUCAGAAAGCUGCUGCUAGUGAAGCAUCAAAGCUGCUUCAGGAGUCAUCUGAUCAAGACCUGGUUCUGGAGCAUCUUGAAUGGGUCUGUGUACUAGGACCAAUUUAUCAAAUUUUAUAAACAAUUAGUAGAUUAAUUAAAUAUCCUAGUUUCUACUGUAUUAACUGCAGGUGGCUUUUUUAACUUUAGAUUGCAGAUAUUGAUCAGGAGUUUGCGGUAAUGGUUUUAACAUCUGAGAAAAGGGUUAAUCAGCUUUCACCUGGUAAUUCUGACGCUUAAUAGAGCUGACAAGUUGAUUGUUCUUUAGAUAUGCUCUACUUUUUCUCUUAACUAUGAUAACUCUUGAUGUUCACCACCUAUCAAGAAAAAAUAAGAACAAACAAAUUAAAAAAUAUCACAUAUAACAUAUUUUAAUAUCAGAUGAUUCCUAGCACUUAUAAAUAAUAAAAUCUGUUACCCACAGAGACGAAGCUUCGAUAUCAUGCUUGCAAGAGAAUGGUUAGUAUUGUCUCAUCAAUUUGUGUUGUAUUUUUUUGGAUAUUUUGUUGCCACAACUUGUCUAAGGUUAUGUUCUCCAAAGUAAGUGUUUUUAGUUCAGUUCUUCAUCGAUUGUCUUUAUUUUCUUUUGUCGGUCAUGCUCACCACUUUUUUGACCUUUCAAUUAGCAAUUGUGUUCCUCUCAUGGAGACAUCAUAGGCCUUUGUUGAAUACGUCAAGCCACCUCAGAUAAUUUUUCUAUACACUUUCUUGCAGUGCUGCAAAUCAUCACCUUUCCCAAUGUAAAACUCAUGCUCUCCAGGAUUAUAGAUUUUCUGUCUCAUCGUCCUUAUCUUUGUUAUGCUCAGCUUGUGUUUGGGCUCUUUCCUGCAUGUCAGCCAUAUGAUGAAGCUUGGAUAAUAACUCAAACACCUUACUCUACAAGUUUCAUUUCAUCUAUAUGGGUAUACUUUAUUUUUGACCAAAUGACAUCGUCUAGAUCCACAUUUCCCCUUAUACAUGCCAAGUUGAUAUCUGUUGGGAUCUACAUCUGCCUGUCAUGUUGUAUAGUAGAACUUUGUUGCCAAGGACAUUUUUCCUUCAGAGAAAUUAUCAUUCUCUUCUGCUUCCUGUAUAUCCACUCCAAGAAUCUUGCUAAUUCUUAACUUCACCAUCAUUUCCACUAAAGAUACACUCUUUUUCUUUUUGGAUAACAACAUUUUAAAUCCCUUACUCUGUAGAUUAUCUUUCAUAAUUACAUCAUACUGCUCAGUCCUUCCCUAGUCUCAUCAACCAGAUAUCAUCUAUAAAUAGCAGACAUCUAGGGGUCAUCCUUCGAAGCUUCUUACUUGGUGGAUCCAAAAGAUCUGGUGUGAUAACCAUUGCUUGCUUUUCACUUAGUGUAGAAUUUAGUGCAUUGCUUUUGGGGAGCACCUUAUUGAAUCCUUGCCAAAUUCUCAUGAUUUUUUUUAAAGUUCUGGCAUGUUAAAGAGCACUAAUGAUGUCUGGGACCUACUUGACGUAAAAACAUCUAAUAAGAACAACACCUCUAUAUCAUGUUAUAUUUGUAUGAUUAUGUAAAUUCAAGCAACAAUUUAGAUGAAAAUGACCAAAUAUUCCAUUGGCAUCUUCAUGUCUAAAAUAAACAAUUAAAACUUUGAACAUUCUUUUCAGUUUAUAAUUAAUUCAGAGACCAGCUUCAAGAUGGCCUUACAUAUCACGCUUUCUGGAAAUGACAACAUUUGUUAAUUUGGACAGGUGUAGCACUUUAUUAUCACUUAAAAGUUACUAAUAGAUUUUCUUGUGGUUGCAGAAAAGGUACUUGCUGCUGUUGAUCCAAAAAAGGUUGAGAUUCAGCAGAGGUAUUAAUCAGCUAAUACUGUGGGGUUGUUUUCACUUUUGUAUACAUGCCAAUACCAAGUUUAGGUCAAAAGUUUACAUGAAAAUUGGUCUUCUAUAUUGACAGGUUAAUUUUGAUAAAGAUUGUGCUUUCUGCCUAAACUUUUAGCUGAUAUAUGUAAAAUCUUGUAGAUAUUUGCAGUGGUUGAUUGAGGAUCAAGACUCGGAUGACACUCAAUUUCAUACUUUAUAUGCUGUUUCUCUUGCUAGAUCAGCACUAGAAAUAGUUGAACUGGCCUACAGCAAUGGGAAUAAUGAUGCUAGAAAUCAUGAGGAGAUGGUUUUGGUUUUGGAUGUUGAAAAUGCAAACAAUUACAGGUAUUCUGUCAGGGAGAGUUUGCAGUUUUUUUUACAGGCUUCAGACUUGUAUGAUCCAGAAGAAGUACUUGAUGUGAUAGAAGGAUCGGAGUUAUGGCUGGAAAAGGUUAUUACUUAUUACCCCUUAUAGCAGCUUAGUCUUGCAACAACUGUUAACUAGAUUGGUGUCUUGUUUUGCUUACACACUGAUUUUUUGCAUAAUUUUUGCAUAAUUCCAUAUUUACAUUAAAAUAUUAAAAUAUAUAUUUACUAUGUUUUGAAUCGCACUCUGAACAGCUUAUGUUCAGUUAUAGGAAUAUUGAUUGUGUUUGCUAUUUGUAGUUUUGCUUUGUUUAGAUGUUGCAAGUAUAUGUGCCAUAAGUUCACAUUUUGUUUCUGAUGUCUAUGGGGUGCCUUACCAAGCAUCCAGAGUCAAAUGAUUAAAGAAAAUGGUGGCUCUAGUCUCUUCUUUAUCAGGCCACAAACAAGUAUACUCCCUCACAAUAUCUAUGACCCUGAUGGUAGUAGCCAGUAAUAAACUUGCUGUUUUACAUUUUAGCUUAUGCAACAAGCAGAAGGACUCCACACCUUUAUUUAUCAGCCAAAUUGAGGAUCCAACCAGUCUGCAGAGAAACCUUCUACUAAGUCCAUGAAACACAAGCAUGUCUUUAUUAAAACAUUUCCCAUUCAAGAUACUACCAUGUUAUGCAGUUUCCUUACCUCAGCACCUCCCGGUUCUCCCCCAUUCCCAGAAACCAAAACCACAUUCUUGCUAUGAUAAAAAAAGGAUAUCUACACAUGUCUUAUUUGUCGGACAUGACAUCCAUAUAAUUUGAGUUGGCACUGUAUAACAUGCUAUACCGUGGUGAGUAUUGACAUGCACAAAUUGAUACAAAUGCAAUGCCCAAAAUCACAACAUGAUGAAGAGUAUGUUAAGGAAACCUAACUCUUAGCACAUAGAUUAGACUGCUUUGGUUGCUUUACAAUCGCGUACACGAAAUAUUUUAAGGAGUCUGACUCCUUUAAAGAAGUUGUGUGUGACACGAACUGUUUAUUCAUUAGUUGGAAACUCUACAAUAUGAAAAAAAAUGCAUCAAGAUGGUAAAUCCCAAACUUCUAGAUGUGUUUGAUGCUCCACCUUGUAAGAGUCAUUUGAUGAUGGUGGGCCAGGCACUAUGCUGUUUGCAAUGGUAUGAAAGUAAAGCAUCAUAAAAAAUAUUGGAAAUUCUAUGCUCUCAAAUGUUUGUUUUUAGUCCUAAAUAUAAAUAUAUAUUAUUUGAUCAUUGUCGCAUCUAAUACUGAAUUUUGUGACACGAGUUGUCUCAACAUUCAAAGCUUGUAUUUUCUUCUCUGAUAUGUCAGUAAUCUCAUGUGGGACUUUCUCAAAUGUCUAAAUGGCAGCCGUAACGUACUUAUGCUAUCCUACUUCAGAGAUUUUGUCUCUUCUGUUAUUGGAAUAAUUAGUAUAUGCAUCCAUGUAUAGAACUCUGAUACUCAAAGAGUGUUGUUAGAGAAGUUUUGCCGUCUUGGUCAAUUUAUUCUGAGUGACUUAUGACAGCUUUUGUUGUUUCAUUCAGUUUUACUUAAUGACAUUUCUAUUUCUUUGAUUGAGACAAAAUUAAUCGGUCGACUCAUAUGUAUGAUAAUGUUGUCUGUUGGGUAUUCUGUUGUAAAUUUUAGUUUGUAAUAUGUUAUAUGCUCACUCUUGUUAGCUGCAUAUAACAGGCAAUCCUGUACAGGAAGAUGGGGCAAGAGACAAUGGUACUGCAGAUUCUGGCCUUGUAAGAGUCAAACAGCUAGGAUCCCUUAACAGAUUUGAAUCAUGAUAGGAGAAUUGCAAUUUGCUUGUUAAUAUUUUACCAGUAAGCCCAUAUUCCUUUGCCUGAAUUUCUAGUUAUUUGUGAUUCUUUUGUGCUGAAGGAAAUUGGAGGAUUGUGAAGCUGCCGAACAAUAUUGUGCAGAGAUUGGUAGAAAUGAUGCCUAUAUGCAGUAGGUUUUUGUCCAUUUCUUAAUGCACUCUUUUUGGUAGUCAUAUCAUAAAAUCUGCAAUUUCUAGCGAGUUCACAUUUUCCAUUCAUGUGCUUUGUACCUCAGGUUGCUGGAUAUGUAUUUGGAUCCGCUGGAUGGCAAAGAACCCAUGUUCAAGGCUGCAGUUCGUCUUCUCCAUAAUCAUGGGGAAUCUCUAGAUCCGCUUCAAGUGCUGGAGGUACCUAACUUGAUGCAUUGUUAUACUAGAAACAUGCCUAUUCACCUGCUAGGAACUCAGACAACUAGGAGUAACAUGCCUAUUCACAUGCCUAUUCCCUCAUCCAACUUGCACCAAAUAAUGCAUCCUGUGUCUGGCAUAAAUAGCAAGAAGGUUUCUUUUUGCUGUUUUGGAUUUUAACAGGGAGAAUAAGCUGUUGCAAAUUGAGACAAUUUGAGAUAAUGUAAAAAGGUCUAAUUUUGAUAGCCUAAACGCCCUGUACAUCAUACCCUACACAUCAAGUUGUCUUUCAAACCUCUUUAGCUAGAAUAUUCUUCAUCUCAUUAGCAUCAAUUAGCACAACCUGGAGGAUGUUUCAUAGCACAUAAUUAUGCAUGCAUUUCAUAGUUGUCAGAUAACCUAGGCGACCCUGGGCGCUGGACCAUCCUAUAGUCUAGUGUAAAAUUACAUUGCUUUCACAUACUGAUGGGAAGAACUAUAUUGCCAUAUUAUUACUUCCUAUGGUCAAUGGACCAUCCCAUGUUUGACAUAAAUAGUUUAGAAGAACUAUAUUGCCAUAUUUUGUGAUGAGUCAUGAUCCUAUUGACUUUGAAUAGCCUUAGUAUAAGGGUGUAAAGUAGGGUUGGUUGUACUGCACCGAACCUCCCAGUUCGGUCAUAUCGAACCGAACUGACGGGAAAUUGGGUUGAUUCGUCUAGUUGGCUCAAUAAAUAGGCCAAGAGAAGAAAAAUGUAAGGUUAGAGCCGUUCGAUUAAAUAAGCCAUGCCCUCCCCCCAUGUUCCCUUCCUUCCUGACCUCGUGAUGAAGCCCCUCCACCCCCCCCCCCUCCUCUCUCUUGGCCUCUCUCUCUCUCCGGUGCCGGUUUACCAAACCUUGGUGUAAAGUUUCACAUAUCAUGAGUGUAGCAGCCAAGGACUGGCCCAUUGUAAUGAAGUGCAUUACCAUGCUGAGUAACGUUUUAAGAAAAAAAAAAGACCGGUCGGAUCUGAAGCCGGUUGAAAACCAGAAGCAGCCUCGAUCACCUUCUCAGACAAGGACCUUCUCCUAGGCACGACAGAGCACAAUCGGCCCCUCUACGCCACCGGCAUUGGCAUGCAACUGGAUGGAAAGGCAGAUUGCUGGAAGAUAAGCUUUAAAUGUGCCAAAUAUUUUAUCUUGCCAAAUUUUAUCUAGUGUAGUUCUCUCGUCUUAUUGGUUUGGAAAUAAGCUUCCUAGAUAUCUUUAUGCUGACAUACAUUUUAUCAUAUGCUGAAAGUGAGGAAGUUAAUUUUCUUGGUGUCAGCAAAAUAUAAUAGCUUUGCAACCUAAAGUUUCCUUACAUAUCAUUUAAUGAUUACGAUAUCCUGCUUGAUGAAAGUCUUUUGUUGUUCCUGGGUGUCUGCAUGUGACUCAUCAUAAAUUUAAAAUAUCAGUUGACUAUAUGGAAUUCUUAUUUCAACUUUUGUUUUGAAUUCCACAGCCUCAUGUAACAAUCAUAUUCAAAAUUUGGUGAUUUUAAAUAUUGCCUCAACAUAUAACUAUUCAAGGAAUAACUGCUAUUGUAUCUGGAAUUUGCAUUGCAGAAAUUAUCUCCUGAAAUGCCUCUCCAGCUUGCAGCAGAUAUAAUAUUGAGAAUGUUGAGAGCUCGAGUUCAUCACCAUCGCCAAGGACAGGUAAAUUUAUCAUGCUAAGAAAUAUGACACAUUUUUUACUUCUAAUGUUUCAGCCAGAGGAAGUAUGUCUAUAGCAAUCCUCCAAUUUUGGUCCAUGGAAUUAUGUGUGUAUAAAUUUUGCAAGCAAGUGACUGCACUUUUAGCCAUAAAUUUGGCCAAAUUUGCAAUGGAUUAAUUGUUAUAGAUGUGAUAAAAUUCAAAGAAUUUGUUGCUCGAUCGAAGUAUAUGCCAUUUGCUGUUGGACGACCUACCAUAUUUCUGAUUCUUUUACAUGUUACCAUUGAUUCGGCUUCAUGAUUUGUUAUUGUUAUUUCCUGAUGCACCAUCGGAUAGCCUAUGAGAAAACAAAGUCAACUGCAUGUAACCAAGAAUAAACAUCAUCUCACUUAAAAGCUUUCCUGGUUAUGCUGCAAGGUUCAUAUUGGUUUGUUCCAUCCACCGCUCCAAUUUACAUUUACAUGAAUCCAUAUCCUAGACAGAAAAUCGUCAUCAUAAUUAUGGCAAAUAUGCUCUGUUUCAUCUAUCCUCUUCAAUGUUUAGUUUCAUCUUUGCUGAAUUCUCCACCCUCAGCUAGUGUUAUAGAUCCACGCACAACUUAAAUUCUGAUGGUUUCCUCCAUUAUUUUGUCCUUUCAAUUAAAUUGGAAGAUUCACUUUCCAUAGUCAUCCUCCAGUCUGGUUUACAUUUACAUGAAUAUUGAGAUUGUCUUAUGUGCAUUCUCCCAGGCCAGAUGGUCACCAAGUGUGAGGCAAGUAUGUUGGGAAUGAUGUAUGUAUCUUUUAGUGUAUCUUUUCAAAUUUCUCUUACCAACAAAAUGUUCCAUGGUGCAAUCUCUUUAUAAUAUCAAAGCCAUUUUUUUAAAAGCAAAAAAAAAUCUGAUUACUGGUAUCAGUUAACAUAUUUAUGCCUUUAACCACUUGUGUCGGAAGUUUCGUUUGGAUUGCUUUGAAACUGGCGCUUAUGGGUCUGGUAGAAUGUUUAAUUUAUAGAAUAUGAAUUAAGGUUUAUGGUCUCAUUGGAUUUAUGUGAAAGUUCCCAGUUAAAAGAUAAGUGACAGUGCAGCAUUAGUUUCUUGCCGAUUGCUAGGAUUUCUGAUAGCAUUUUUUUUCCUAUUCUACUCAUGGCAAUACAUUAAAAUGUUUAAUUUUGUUGUUUCCUAGACAAACUUGCUUGUACGCAUAUCUUUCUCUUUUUAUGCAUUACAGUCCAUGCUUAACUGUUAUAAUACUUGCUAGCUGAUUAAGAAAAUUAUAACAUUCUUUUGGAUGGGCAUGGUAGAUUGUUCAUAAUCUAUCACAUGCAAUAAGACUAGAUGCUCAGCUGGCAAGAUUAGAGGAGAGAUCGAGGCAUGUUCAAAUAAAUGAUGAGAGUAUUUGUGAUUCUUGUCACGCUCGCCUUGGUACCAAGCUCUUUGCCAUGUAUCCAGAUGAUUCAGUUGUUUGUUACAAGGUAUGCAAAGCCCAACAAUUUGAAUAUCAAUCAGUACCAUUAGUGAAAUAAUGAAAUUGCUAGAUAACAGGCUCAGGAUUUCAUGUGCAUGAGGGAAUGUAUUUGCAUUUCAGCAUGCUUAUAAAACAAAUGCUUUCAUAUGGGAUGUGAAACAUAAGUAUGCUCUGUAUAUAUGCAUUUUUCGGUAAAUGGAUUUUAUGAGACUAUCCUGCUUACCUUUUACAGUGUUAUCGUCGCCUAGGGGAGUCAACAUCAGCUCGUGGUCGUAACUUCAAGCAAGAUUUCGUUUUUAAACUAGGGUGGCUUGUAAGUAGAUAAUCAGGGAACAUCUUUUGCUCAGUCAAGGCUUCUGUUUGGGUGCACAGUUAUCUUGGGGCCUAAAUCAGAGUCAAAGGUGGCCUAUUCCACAUCAACAGAACAUCUUUGGUCGGACUUUACACCAGUUACUUUCUAGCAUAUGCUAUCAUCAACGAAGCUUCAUUCUGCUAAUUUGAAGAAGGCAUGAUUGCUGAUGCUGCGAUAUUUAUUGGAAGAUCUGCAUUUUGAUACGGUGAUGGGAAUGAUGAUGGAUUUGUUAGGCCAUGCAGCUUCCUGUGAUGGAGUUUCAGCUGUCUUCAUGUGUUUGCACAGCAACGGUCAAAAACUUGCUCAAGAUUUACAUGGCAAAUAUGAGACGCCUGUUUAUAUCGUCGUGCCAUUCCAGUUAUGAAUUUUGGAUGGAGAACCGUACACAGAGAACAGUCAACUAACAAUAUCAUGCAUAGUUUUCUCAAAAAACAAUAUGUAGGAUAUUAUCAAUGUCAAUCUACAUCCAUAAUGCUUCUACAGCAUUUUUCAUAUCUUUUUGUCUCCGACUCUUCUACUCCCAUAUAAUCUAUUAAUGGGCACUCGUGAAAUUAUAUGGAACAAUAUAUAUUUUUUGGGUACAGAUAUGCGACAAUUUUUUGCUCCUUGAAUUUUUCAUGAUAGUUGCUAAUCAAGCCUUUUCUUACAGUUCUUUGUGGAGUGACAGGUCUGCUGCAGUCUAUGGAAUCUUUGUACAAUAAACGAGUGAUUUCAGCUUGUUUCCUUAGUUCGGCUGAGGUAUCCUGGAAGCAGUAAUGUGAAAUCGAUCGAGCCACUAUUUUGUUUCUGUAGAAUGAUGGCCGUAUGGAUGUCUAUGGGGAACCUGGGUUUUACUCCGUCUGUUGAAAAAACUUAAAAAGAUUGACAUAAAAUAUUUUGAAUGAGAUGUUGUGAGCGAAAUGAAAUCGCUAGAUAAGACUGGAACAUGCCAAGGAUGAUUGACGUUUGAAAUUGAUGCAGGUUAUAAAUUUUAUACGCAAUAAGAAUGAAGGAUAAGCCAGAUAAUAUCAUUUUUUUCCCUGAACAAGCAGAAUACAUCUUUUUUCUUUUUUCUUUCAUUUUUUUUUAACUUUCAUGUCAUAGUAAUUUAAAGUCUUUGAUUAAUUCAAUUAAAUUUUAAGAUUCUUGUCAUCAUCUAAACCCAUACCAUUUUUGUCUGCUCAAGUAAUUUUUCAUGCAGGUGGAGCCGUAGCAGAAGUUUAGCAGCUCAUACUCUUCUGUAUGUUUCAGCAUCAGAUGUCUGUCAGUGUCUAAUCAGCAGCACUAUAAUCCUUAAUAAGCUUGCACUACCAUGAUGCAACACAUUCUCAAUAAAUUGCCGUUUGUUUGUACAGGCAUGACAAUGUUCAGAAUCCCAAAGUUCUGGACUUUAAGGCCUUUCUUUGUCUUGGUGGUUGCAUGAGAGACUUGGGCAUGGAUGCUGCCUUCAUCAGGUAUUGGGUGAGGGCUUCUCCUUUUUCUGUGGCAGUCAAUUAAAGAUGGAAUUUUCUCUACCAAAAACAUGUGGCGUGAUAAGUGCAAUAAGCCUUGGUUCGUAUAUCCUUUCUUUUUUUCAAAUAUCUUAGUUAUUGUUGAAGAAGGAUCAUCUUUCUAACUCUCCCCAGCUAACCUUUUACUGUUCUUAGUGAUCAAAUCAAGUCAUUUUUAUUUCUAACGUGGCUCCAAGUUCAAACGUACAACUCUCAGCUAUGACGCAAUCUUUUUUAUCAAUAUCUUGUACCCCAAAUAACUCAGACAUAAAAAAUAAACACCAAAUAACUCUAUAGUAUGAAAGGCCAAGACAUUCCUCCCCAGCCAACUAAAAGCAGCGGGCUCUCAUGGCUUCCAUGGUGGUGGCGGCGGUGGCGUUGCCGGGAAGAGUGGCGGCACAGCCGAGAACAUGGUGUUCUUGUCGACGCCAGCACCGCCACUGCUUGUCAGCGACACAAGGGCUGCGACAAGGCCUGCAUUGCCGGCUAGCGUGGGCUCGGUGUAGCCGUAGUUCUUUCUCACGUCGACGAAGCCGUCGGAACGAUCGGGGCCGCCGACCAUGGCGCCGGUGAUCACAUUGGGGUUGGGGGAUUUGGCAUUUAACCACUUCCGCCCGCCGGUGCAUGAGUACUUGACGCCGUUGUCGGGGAUCGAGGCGCCGCGGUGAUGGACGUGCUUCGGGUAGUUCUUGCCAUAACCCACCACAUAACUCAUCUUCUUUGGAUUGUCUCCUAAGAUGUAAUCCACCUGCGACACAAGGAUGGCUAAUUAGCUGUGAAGCUUGCUUACUAGGAGAAAACAUGGGAAACGGAAGUUUCCCAGCAUCAACUUUUCCUCAGGUUUUUAAUCUAUUCUUGAGAAUAGAUUGUUGCAUAAAACAAUCAUAUUUUUUCAUGAUUGUAACAGUGCUCUUUCAAAGAUGCUGGCAUCUAGUUUUCGUAAUAGGUGGAAAUUAAUAAAUGAGAAAAGAGAAGAGGUGGGGACCUGGGAGGCAGCGAAGCUCCGAAGGGAGCUGGUGGAGAAGUAGUAGGGGCCGCAAUACCAUCCGGGGACAUUAGCAGCGUCCAUAUAGUCGGCAUAGAGGGAUGCCAGGAACGACGUCGCCGCUGCAUAUUGCAGCGGCUGAGGCCUUCCGUGGUUCAGUUCAAUGAGUCCACCUGCGUACAGAAGGUGUCAGCUUAUCAAACUAGUAAAAUUCUUGGUUAGUAAAAUUCAAUACUUGGUUAUAUCGCAUUUUAAGAGUUGGAUAAGCCAUUUCUGUAUCAUAAAAAUACCCAUGCAUGCAGUUUUCUUGGAAAUCUGUAAGGCAGAAGAAGACUUCAAUAUGCUGAUGAAAAUUUUCAAUGCUCCCACUUUUUUUUUUUUAUCAGCAUUGCUGCACUCUUCUUCUAUCUGCAGGUUCUUCACAACUAAAUAGUGUCAUGGUCUCUCGUCUUUUUUUUUUUAACCCCAUUGCUCAUAUUAUAGUUAUCUUGGCUUCCUUUUGUAGUUAUGUUAAUGACCAAUUGAGGUUUUCUUGAUCCUUUUUCUCAUAAAAGACAACUUGGAUUCGAGCGACUGAAAGAUUUUUAUUGCGAUUAUAUAUGUAUAUAUAUUGAUUUCUGAAAGAUGGCAUCAUGUUACCUCGUGUCCAAUUGAAGACAUGGAAUUCCUUAAAACAUGAACACAUGUCGAGGCCUGUGGCAUUAUGGUACCCACGGAGAGUCUCCUCAUAAGGAUAGCCCGGGCUCAAGAACAGCCUGAACCUGGUUAGAAGCAGCAUGGCAGCUGGGAGCUUGUUGUCCCAGCUGAGAACCCCGAGGUCUGGGAUUUGCAUGAAGGCCUUGGCAUUCCUUGGCAGCCUCGGAUCGGUCACAAAGCUCAUGUAGCUGCUGUUGCCGGUGGCGUAGUACAUCCAUGCAGCACUCCACAUGUACUCAUCCCAGUAGCCCGUUGAGUUGUAGAAGGGCUCGAUGUACGGGUUCCCUCGGGAGUAGGGCGUUCUGUGGCCCAUGCUCCUUGCAAACUUGUAAACUGUUGCUGCGCCACUGAUGAGCUUCUUGGAGUAGGCGGGGUCGUCGCGGAAGACAAUGGAGGCAGCAGCCAGUGCUGCAGCCAUCUCACCUCCCAAGUCUGGGGCAGAGCUUGCAACCUGGGUCUUGCGGGGGUAGUCCAUGUCUUCAGGUCUCAUCCAGCAGUAGUGGUCGUCCGGUGUCGUCGAGGAAUUCGUCGCCUCACCGACCUGACAAACAGAAGAACAUAUGAAGUUGAGAGCCUGAAAGAGGAGGGGAAGACCUCAGCUGGCUAGAAUGGAUUCAAAUCUAAGAAAAGAAUUGAAGAAGUCUGAAGUAACAGUGGAGGUCAGUGGUUGCUCUCUUCUUGGGAAUGAUUUGCAAAUAAGGGUUCAUAAAAUUGAUCCAACAUAGCAGGGAUAUAGUAUCUUAAUGAUUAUUUGAUGCCAAGAGCUUGAUGAUGAUAGUAGAUAAAAGUAUUUUCAGGCUGAAGCUUUGUGAUGAUAGAUCAUGCAUUGCAAGAAUUUUAGCCACCAGAGAUGAUGCAAGGUAAUUGUAGUGAUCAUAUACAAUGCCAAUUACCAAUACUUGCGCUGGAAUGUGUGGGACUUGUGCAUUUAAUUCUCUUCAUGAGCAAAAGUCUGUUGGAUGAAUGCUGAAUUUCUCAGAAUUAUAUUGAAUGGAUUAUUUCCACACUUAAAAGAGAUGGCAGCAAGAUCUGAAAUUAGUUGUACAGAAAAUCAUUUGUACAUAAGAAAAGGUCUCUUCCAAGUUCCGAAUCUAUUAGAUGAUCGAAGUCUCAUUGAAUUGUCGAGAGGAUUGAAUUGGAUAUUUUAACAAUUAUCAUGUAAGAAUGGGAUCGACAUUAAUACUGAUAAGGAUGAAGAAUAUCUUCUUUAGGAUAAUUGUAUUCCUGAGAAAUAUUCUUAAAGAAAUAAAACAUUUUGAAGAAUUUAAAUGAAGCAACUUCUCCAGCGGCAUAGGACUGACUUUAUGAGGUAAAGUAUUUGGAGGAGAAAGCAGUGGAUAUCAGAAAUAUUAUAGUUUUGAGAUAUAUCCAUAUCUAAAACAAUUAUGAAGCAAUGAGAUUACAACAUUGCAAUUACUUGGUCGAUCAUGUUACCUUAUAGAGCAUAUUUUUCUUUUUUUUUAAUAGAAAAUUUAUAGAUCACAAUCUAUAAAAAUAAUAAGAGAGUUCUGAUCCAGGAAGUUUGAAUAAAUUGUCUGCCAUCUUGGUAGGUAUGCUUUCAGAUGCAGCUAGCAGUGGUUUCCAACAGAUGAGAGACCUAAGAGCAUGUAGCAUCAGAUUGUAAGAACAAUGAUAGUCUACAUCUUUACCUGGCUAUAGAUUUUAUCAAUGGUGGUGGCAGAAGAAUUGAAGGUUUUAAGCAAGUAAUCGGUGCCCCAUUUUAUGAGUUCUCUGAUGUGGUUGUACUCUCCAAUUGCUUGGUACUUUUGACUGUAUUCUAUCACUGACCAACUCAGGAGUGUCAUGGAGUAGGCCAUUGGGAAAUGAAAUUUUAUGUUGUCCCCUGCAUCAUAGUAUCCUCCAACAAGCCCCCCCUUAAUAUCUGGUUGAUCAAAGCCAUCUUUGAGGCCAGAAUCUCCACGCCAUGGAAUACCGUUGUUCUUCGGCAAGCGACCAGCUGAUCAAGAGUCAAUGAAUAGAAAAAAAAUCAAUCAGUAACUUUAAUCUUGAUAGGAGAUAUUGAAUUCUAGAAGUACUCUGAGAAAAUCUUAUGUUUCUGGUGACUCUAAAUGGAUUUCCUCUAUAGUUUCAUCAAUCUUUUUAUUUUUAUUUUUUAUGUAUUAAUGGAGACAAGCAAUCAACAUAUACUUCUAUGUAUGUUGAAAACCUUUAAAAUUUUAACUGUUUGAUCUGAAAAAACAGAGGAGAUUAACCUUGCCGCAAUCAGGUAAUUCUCUUUUUUUUCUCACCAACUUAUUUUGAGAAAAAUCAAAAGCCGAACAUAAAGAGUGAAUUAUCAGUUAUCAGAGAACAACUUUAAUGGAGUAGACUAAACUUUGGCAUAUAAUUGAACUCAUCUUACACACAAAUAACCAGGGCAGUACCCUUAUGAGGAACAUUUAUUGCUCAAGUAUUUGAUUGGUUACUACCGAGCAGUGUCGAGUUCUGAUCUACUGGUUUCUUCCAAUUAGAAGUGUGAUCUAAUACAAGAUCUAGCCUGAGAAUCAGAUCAUCUAGCUGGCCAAUUCAUCAACCCCACAUUUGACUCAUGGAAGUCAGAAUUAGUCUCAAAAUUAAAUGACCACAAAAAUGUAUGUAAGCAGAAAUAGUUUGCGAUCCGACUUAAUACUACAUAUGAUCCCACUUUGAGCCAAUGCGUCAAAUGAAGCAAAAAACCUGAAUCUGCCAAAUUACUGACAGAAUUGUGGAGACCAUGAACCAGAAUUGUGUAGGCCAGGAAUUACAUAACCAUUUUCCCUCCAAAUUAAUCAAUAUAAAACACGCUAUACGACCACAGCACUGCCACAAAAAUCUGCCAAAGAUUGCAAUCCUAACUGAUAAAAUUGAUGCAGACCAAGCAAUCAUUAGACCAAUUCUUGGAUGAUCAAUAAAUAAACCACGAAGCAGAGAUCCAAACAAGAAGAAGAAGAAGAAGAUAAGAGCGUCAGCAUCUUACAUUUCUGUGCAUUGAAGAACAGGAGGGCCUUUUGGAGGGCCAUUGCGUACCGGUCCGGCGGCGGCGCCUUCUCCUUGUGCUUGGGUAAUGACUUGACGAUGAUGAUGGGAAUUCCGACGACGACAAAUGCAAUCAGAGCCGACCAAAUGACCCACCAGAGGACCUUGCGCUUGCAGACGACGCAGCCAAGGUCAACGUACUUGUCCUUCUUCUGGCUGCCGUCCUGCGGUUCGAGCAGCCAGCUCUGCUGCGUCUCGUCGAGCUGGUGCCGGGAGAGGGCUCCUCGGUCCAAAUCCAAGCUGCGGCUGUGCUCGUCGUCGGUGGCAGGGUCGACAUGGAUCUCGAACGCGCCGCCCCACUGGUUCCCGGAGUGCAUCUUGGUAUGAGCUUCAACUCAGUGCAUGGGAUUCAGACCAUGGACCCGAAAAAGCAGCAACGAAUUCAAUGGAACAGGAAGGCCUGGUUCAUGUCCCGGAGGAGUCGGCGCCAAUCUAAAAUGGCUUACUUUGCAUGGAAACGAUGCGAGUUAGAAGCCUGAUCAGUUGGCAAUUACAUCAAACCAGCUCCGAGAAGAUGACUGCUUUUAUGAGUUCAUGGAGAGAGACAGAAAGAGGAAGAGGACUCUCAAGCUCCAAGGAAGAGCUAGAAUCUCUCUUCCUUCUUACUACUAUUAUUCCACAUUGGUGGCUUUUUGUCCUUUACUUAAUGGUGUUUGGGAAAGGAACGAGGGGAAGAGAGUUGACUUGAGGACGCGCGCGCGAGAGAGAGAGAAAGAAGGGUGGCGAUUGGUUUUUCCACGGUUUUUGAAUGUAAUAAUUUUUUAGAUUUCCUGCAAGCCGUUGCUGUUUUUUUUUUUUCUUGUGUUUUUCUUUUCUUUUCUUUUCUUUUCUUUCUUUCUUUUUGUUUGCUUGUGUGUGAAAAGGAUGCAGCUGGAUGGAUGGUGGAAGGCUAGAAGCGACCUUCGCGGGGUAGGCAGGUGGGAGAAAUUGACUAAGUUUAGUUUAAGAUUUUGGCUUCCAGGUGUAUGCGGUGAAGGUAUAGUAUAUUAAAGUUAGCAAGAGUUAUGAUGUGGGGAAGUCUUUGUUUAAUUCUUAAACUCAUAUGGAAGCUUCCAUGCAUGCUGAAAUAAUAUUUAGAUCUUAGUCUGCAAGAGUGAGAAAUUUGUGCUCGGGACUUCGGGAUUCUCACUAUAAUUUUUAUUUAUGGCCAUGGCCUACUCGACUGAGCCCACGUUAUAAGAGUGUUGGGUUCAUGUUUCAAUGGAUUAGGCUGAACUCAGGUCAUCAAAAUUGACCUGAUUUAAAGUUGGACCAAGUUUAGACUAGUGAUUAUGAGCCUAAUAACUUAACCCAGACUGUCCCCAUGCCUAUGUUGCAUGUAUGUAUGUGUGUGUGUGUGUGUGUGUGUGUGUGUGUGUGUGUUAUUCAGGUUGAGCCCGAGACUACCUAUGGCCCAGCCCAACCUGCUUGAUAUGCAUCCCUAACUUUUAAGAGGUUGGAGCAGUACUAACAUUCCAGAAUGGAGAAGGAUUGCUUUCUUCACGUUAAAUAAGGAUUUACCUUCUUUCACAUGAAUUCAUCAUUAGAUCAUCCACCGCGCAGAUCUCAAAUCACAGUGGAUGAUCCAAAGGUGGAUUCAUGCAAAGGAAGGCGAAUCCUUCUUAUGCACAAAAGAUACAAUCCCAACCCUUUUAGAUUACACUCAGAUGAAAAUGAACUUUGGGUGGUUGUUUCAAAAUCAAAUGAAGCUCGUUUCAGUAAUACUCUCACCUUCAGCUAAAAGUAUCCUUCUGACAGCAUUUGGAGAUUGCCAUAUACUCAUUUCAGCUUAUUUUAGCAGGCAAAACCCUAAUAUUGAUGCAUGCAUAUGUACAAAUCUUCUUUCUUCAAUAGCCAUAGCUAGAUAUCACCUACAACACAUGCACAUCAUUAGCAACUUCCAGAGGGUCAACCACCCUAGUUCAAUUCUCGCCCAAGCAUGCCUAACUGCGAAAAUUCUGAUGGAAUUUGGAGCUCUAGUGCUGAUAUGAAGCACCCUAAUUAUUACUAAGAUUGCUUCUCCCAAUUUUAACUUGGCUGAUCAACCAUCUACAAAGUUUACCUUAAAAUCAGGCAGAGAUGGGAGAAGUUUCAUGUUUCGCUCACUUUUGGCAACAAGAUGCCCAUAUGGAAUCCAAGGAUUUUUUAGGUUAAUUACUUGCAUUGUCCAGUGCAAGGCUCCAAUAGUGGUAUAUAUUAUAAGCAAUAAAAGGCCACUUUCAACCAUCAGCCAUAUAUUUCGGUUGCCCAGUCUCGUCAAACACGUAGAGAGCUGAUGGUUUUGCUCAGUCUCGUCAAACGCGUAGAGAUCUGAUGGUUUCCUCCCUUGAUAUUAAAAGCUGGCACGAAGUUGGCACCAACAAAGAUAUAAAUAUAAGUAUCCAUUUUUGUGGUCAAGAGACCGCCAUAUAGUGAUAUUUCACCAGCUCAUCCGAACUACCGAAGAAUAUUUUAGGCCUGAUAUUUAGGGUUAAAAAUAUAUAAAAUAUUAAUAUAUUUAUAUUUGUAUCUAUACUUUUUAUAUAAAUAGAGAUAUAGGUACGAAUAUUAAAUAGAUAUCCUGUCUAUAUCUUUUUAUCUAAACACGAAUAUAAAUUACAUAUUUUUUGAAAUAUUUAUUAAAUUUGAGCAAAAUUUAAUAAUAAAAAUUAGUAUACGGCGCCUUCAAAACAUCUCACGGUUGUUGCUGAUUGCAAUCACCAGCGACGGAGAGAAAAAAAAGAGACAAAAUGAACUAACAAAAUAUUUGAACCUUUUAAGCAUGCGCGGGUAAUUUGAAGAAUUUAUUCGAAUUAAGUAUUCCGUAUUUAGGUUACGAUCUUAAGCAACCAUCCAAUAUAUAAUUUCUUUUAGUUUAAGUUUGGUUAAUCAAUUAAUUGGUUUUUGAUUUAACUUAAUUUAAACUUUUUUUAUUUAUCCUUGUUAUACAAAUAUCCGAAUCCAAAUCUAGAAAAGUUAAGUGUAUCCGCAUCCAUAAAAUUUUUGAAUUGACUAUGUAUUUGAAUCCGAUCAGACCAAAAAAAUAGUAUCCAAAUCUAACCCAAAUUAGAUAUAAAAAUAGAUAUGAUCGAAUAUAAUCUAACCUGCUUUUUAGCCCUAUAUUUACAAUGAGUUCAUACUAGACCAGAAAAGGUCCAACAAACAAAGCCCACAUUGACCACAGUAAAAUGAAUACCUUAUGUCUGAGGUUUUUAUUUGCUUUGUAUAAGUGAACUAAUAUUAUCUACUAGUUCAAAACGAACCCAUAUCUCAUGAAACUCAAUAACAUUUAACUAUUAUUUUAUUUUUCUCUUUAAUAACAUAUUCUAUCAUCAUGAAUGAACCUUGGGAAUAUUCAUUUACAUUUACACGCAGCCCUUGGAGUAAUCUUAAAAUCCUGAGACACCUGAAUGAGACUUGAACUCGGCAACCUCCAAUAGCACAAGUAAUUUAACUUAUAGGCAAAAUCCUUUGUUUCAGAUCACCAAAAAGCUUCCUUCUUCUUUUUGAUUCACAAGAACCAGAUUUAGGACCAUCCCCAACCCCACCAAAAACAUAUAUUAGGAGUGAAACCUUCCUACAGAAGAGUACAACCCUGCUCAAUUCCAACACUGAUACAUGUACAAAAGCUGACCUAUUCACAGAGAAAAAAUCUUGUAUAAAUAUUUUUAUUGGCUAGGUAGAAUUAAUAAAGAUUUUUUUAUUUCUUUGUUUAAUUUGUACUUUCUUAAUAAUUCUCAGAAAAAGGAAAAUAAUGGCUACCAUGCCCAUGUAGGAGGGAUCAACACAGAACCCACUCACCCCGAUGAUUUCAUGUUCAGGUUCGUCCUUUAAGAAGAUUGUCUCACCUUAAUUCAUCUGACAUGCAUCAGGUGCAAACCCAUUAAAGCGUAAGAUAACAGGCUAAUCAAUUAUGAUGACACAGCAAAAUGAGGCCUGUUGACAGAUGAAAAUAGGAUGUUGCUAACUGAAGUUUUUGAAGAGCAUGCAGCCUGUGUGUGCCAGUCAAUUUGGAGAGUUAAUUAGACCACAGUUUCCUAUAUGAGGUUUCAGACUUGGGAUCAAGAAUCAACAUUUAUAAUCAAAAAAAAAAAAGUUUGGCCAUGAAACAAGGCAAUCAUAGACAUUUAUCUAACAGUCAUAUGUAACCCCAACAUUUGAUACAACAAAGGCCCGACUUCCAAUAUGCAUAUCUCAACUUGUUAAAACAAAGGGAGGACAUAAGAACUAGAAGUCCCACCUCUUCUUCACCCGGAACAUGAGAAUCGAGUUACCAAUAUCAUCUUGAGGGACUUGGAGCAUGAAUUGAACUUUCAUCUUCAUAGGGGCGGUUUUUGUUUUGCCAUCUUCCUCUCCAACCUUUAACACAGAAUUGCAGUCAAACAGUUUAUUUAUCUCUCUUAUGCAACUGAAAUAUAUAUAUGCAAGCUAGUUCUAUACUUUAUGCCAAAGUUACAUUAGGUCAAGCUAUCUUUUGAUCAAGAAUAUUAACUUUUUACUCCCAUUUCUUUUACUAGUAUAUGCUAAUUUAAAGGUAAUAAGCUACAGCGAACUUACCCAAAGAGAUGCCCAUCCAAGUCGCACGCCAGAAUCAUAGCCAGCUUUAAAUUUAAGGUCUUUACCAAUAGUGUGCUUAUAAACCGUACUCCACUCGCUGGAGUCAAAGUGGUACCAGUAGCUGGAAGGAAACAAAGUAGAGAAACACUUAUAUGAAAAAAUAAUUUAUAAAGAAUAGAUUACCAAAUAUGAGUGACCAUAAAAGGGUAAACUCAAAAUCACUAACAUCAAAUAAUAGCACUGAUAAAUAAUAUGAAAGAUAAAGAGCAUGGGUAACAUUUUCAAAUAAAUAAAGCUCAACCAUAGUGCUAAAUAAUCUCCAUACACUAUCAGUACAAAUAACACAACAGUUCUCGUAGUUAUGUUUUUUUUCUCUCUCUAGUAGGAUAAUUACAGUUUCAUAAUAAAAAAUCUGACCAAUAUUUUAAACUAUUUCCCGAUAUACUUCAAUGUCAUCAUAAUGAGAGAUGCUGCACAUAUUACAAUAAACUGUAUGAAAACUUGAGCAGCAGUCUCCGACAACAUCAAUGGCGCAUCAAACCAAAUAUGCAAAAUUACAAGUGAUUUACACCUCACAAUUAGAAUACCACAAUAUUAUAAAGAUGCUAGCGUAUAACUCAUGUAUAAUCUCUUUAAUGUACAAUUUAUGUACAAGUUCUUGAAAAGAAUGAAACAAUAUUUAACUAGCUACCUUAUAUAAUGAUCAUGCUGUACUGUCUGUAACCCUCCACCCCUCCCGAUUAUUCAUUUUUCAGAAGAGAAAAACUCCGGGUAGAUCAGACUCCAAGAAUUUACAAUGCAAAAGACAGACUAAUCAUAUACCCUACAGAAGUAUCUCCACUAAUGUAGAUAGAGAACAUAAGUAGCAUAGCAUAACUAGAAUGAGUACACACUACAUUUUAAUUAUAUAGUUACCAAGAUGUUGAGUUCAUAGGAUGAUCUUGUGGAUGCAUAACCAUUAAUCUGGGAUAAUUGAUCAGAGAAGUGCUAAUGCAUUUCCUGGGAGUAAACAAUAUAUGUUUUCGCUAAUACCAAGGCAUAGUUAAAAAAAAAAAAAGAUAAAAUGGUAUCAGAAGAAGACAAGCAUUCCUGAACCAUUCACCAGAAAGGCAAGGAAUGAUGGCAAACUGAUAGCAGUUGCAGAGAAUUGUGAUUCCAACUUGAAAGGAAGCCAUUAGCGAUAGUUCAUACUUCAGACUACCUAGUGAACCUCAGGAAUGGUAGCCUUAGAAUAUAGAUUUACAAGUUGCACAAUAGUGUACUCUAAUAAGGAAUGUGGUGUUAGCAAAGCCAACCGAUAGCAUAUGACAACCUAGUUGAUCAAGUAUAAUCGAAUGAAUCAACUCAAUGGCAACAAAGGAAUAUGAUUAGAAAAAAAAGGAUGGGUGCAAUAUUGCAAUUUUGAUGGGAAGCAAGCCAAGACACACUGCGACAUGGUGAAAAAUGUAUGUCUCUCAUGGAAGAUGUCCUAAAACAAGGACAAUAGUUAUGUGAAAGCCAGAGGUCAUUGCAUAUAAACCAGACAGAUAUUCCUGAAGCUAUACGGACCACAAUACAGAUCCAAGUGAUGUUGAUGUUAUAGGCCAAUUAUUUGGUGCAUAUAAGAUGAGAAAACAGAUAUGAUCAAGUCUCAUGAAGAAAGAAGUGCCUAUAAUUAAAAACAAAGGAACUUCAACAUAAUGAAAAUGCAAAGAACCAAAUAAAGAUGUUUUUUGUAUGUCUUGAUCAUAAUAAUCAGGAAAAAUAAAUUGACUCGUAUAGAUCAGAAAAAAUGCACAAAUUGUUAGAAUCAUUGAUGCUCUCACAAAUCAGAAAGAUUCCAAAAGACCAAAUGAACAUGAAAACAAAAUGGAGCCAUGGAAGUUUAACCAUUAUUCCUAAUUUCCUAGAAUGGAUGGUGAUGAGAACAUCUGGAAAGACUUUCUGGCAUUAAUACAAUGUUUCAGAGGAAUCUAGUCAAUUUUUUUCUCUGGAGAGAUCAAUUCAAUGAACAAAGGCCGUGAACAAGAAAAAUAAUGUGCAAAAAAGACCCCGAUAUUUUUGUUUGUUCUGAGAUGAUUGUGUAAGAUAUUCUCUGUGCCAUUGAGCACUCAAUGAGAUGGUAAAGGCUAGCAAAGGAUUAGCCAAUAACAUGUGAUCCUCAAAUCUUCACAAAGGUUUGGGAAUAUUAAUCCAGCCUCUGAUAUUACAAAUUUUAUGAAGGUAUUGUUGGACGCAUGUUAUAUCUAACUAAAGCUUAGCAUUAUAUACUUUUAUACGUCCCAACAAACAAAAGAAAGACAUUAGCUAUUGUGUGUGUGUGUGUAACUAUUACAUAUACAGAGUGAUGGGAUUCAUAAGCAGCAAUGCACUUAAUAUGUAUGCAUUGUAUGCAAUACAACUGGCUACUUUACCAAUUUAAUUUAACAAGUAAAAUAUGUUUAAUGCUUCCAUAUUAAAGACAAGUACAUUAUCAUCAUAUAGUAUUAUGUAUAUAACAUAGUACAUACACAAAGAACAAUAGGAUUCACAAGCAGCAAUGCACUUAAUGUGUGUGCAUUGUACACAAUACAACUGGCUACUUUACCAGCUUAGUUUAACAAGUAAAAUAUGUUCAAAGUUUCCAUAUUACAGAUAAGUAUAUUAUCAUCAUAUAGUAUUAUGGAUAUAACAGAGUACAUACACAAAGAACAUAGGAUUCAUAAGUGGCAAUGCACUUAAUGUGUAUGCACUGUAUGCAAUACAAUUGGCUACUACACCAACUUAAUCUAACAAAUAAGAUAUGCAUUUUUCCAUAUUAAAAAAAAGUAUAUUAGCAUCAUAUAGUGUUAACGGUAUGCUACCUUAUCCAUUUCUAGAGGUUGAUGUCUGCUGACAAGUAGUUGUAAAUUUGUUCAAUUCUUCCACAGAGUGUUCUCAACUUAUAUGCGCUCUAUAAAUGGCCUCACAAUGGAUGGGAAAAGGCUUGAAAGAUGAUGGAAUGAUGAUUAUCAUAAAAAUAUAGUCAAUUUAUGAUUGCAAAGUACCUAAAAACCUAUUGGGUUAUUGUUACCUUAAAUGUUCUUAUUUAUUCUCAUUAUAAGAUCUUAACAAACAAAAAUCGAGAAAAAAAAAAUUAACAAUGUUCAUAGCAUUCCUCUCCCAAAUUAUCACUUACAAAUGCAGAUUAAUAUGUCCAUGCUAUAUUUAAUUUCUUAUGGUUCAAUAUAUUAAAAUGUUCUCAUAUUUUGUUAUUGUUGCUACAAAAAGUUUGAUAUCUAGGCAUCCCAAGGGUGCAAAAUUGUGAAACUUUGUUUCGUUGCUAUAGAAUGCCGAUGUCUUACCUCUUUAACAUCCUUUGCUUGCAUAUUCCUUCAGCAAAUUCAGGACCCACAGGCCACAGUGCGUGAAUGCAUACACCUUUUGUACCCUAGAGUCUUUUCUUUGGGUGGGUGGGGACAAUUGGGAAGAAGAGCCCAUUAAAUCCCUCAUGUUUUAUGAUGGUACUAUCUAAUAAAACAAUAUGUGGUGGUACCAUUCUCAAAAACAAAACAAUAUCUACAACAAAUGCAUACUUCAAAAGUAAUGAAAAUGACAAAAAGUGAAAAUAAGCAAACCAAGAUACGUACUACUCAAAAGUGAUGAUAGUUUGCAAAAAACUGAUAUGUAUAACCUAUCAUGGAUGCUACUGAGUAUGUAACAUUAAACAUGCUAUAUAUUCAUUUUUAGCUUUUAAAUUUGUUUUUUCCAAGAAUUUGGAAACUAUACUACUUUCAAGAUACAUAGAUAGUGACAUAAAACAUAAAGAUAAUAUCAUUGUAAGAACAGAAAUAUGAAUUCAAGUUAUAUGUUUUAAAAGGAAAAUUAAUGAACAAAGAUAUACGGCAAACCUUAAUUUGUCCGAAGGACUGAAACGCCGUUUGAAUGCAAAGGAUAGGGCAUUUGAAGGUAAGUAGACACUGGGAAUAAAUGACAAUUCCUCAUCCUACCAUUAAAACAAAUUUAAAAAAUAUACAUUCAAGAUAGUUUCUUGUAAGAUGUGAAAUGGAACAUAAAUUAUUUCAAAAAAAUAAUUUGCGAAAUAUAUUGCAUAAAAGUAAAGAACAAAGCGUUUACAAUGAUCACCUUAUAACAGUAUCUUAGGUUCAAAUCAUUGUCCUUAUAUAAUGCGGUACAAACUCCAUUCAACAUAUGACCUUUCAAAAUCCCAUUUACUGAUAGUACGUUCUCAACUUCCUUAGUUUCCUUCUCGACUGAAACUUCACCAAGGGGGAAAUGAAUAGUUGCUUUUGGCUGCAUAAAUUUAUUGUCAUCAUGUCAGUCACUAUAUGUGCAACAAGGAACUUCUUUUAACUUGUCUAUUAAAGGAAACUGCUCAAGUAUAUAUGCACGACUAUAGACCUGGAAAUCAAAGCAAAGAUUGGAUCCAGCAAUCAUCACCUAUAGAACUAAAUCAGGAGUGGCUGUGAGAGCAGAUAUAAGGGUGUAAGCUGAUAAGAGAGUUCACAAAGGAUUUAGGAAGUGUGAACAGUAAGAGUAUAUGUUUAAGAUAAUAUAAUGUAACAACAGAAAAAGAUAUAUGCUUUUGGUGGUUGUCUAAAUUGAUGAAUGAUAGAGAUUUAUUGGGAAAUAGGAGAGUGGUAAAUGUCAUGAUUGCAGAUCAACAUGGUAAAAGAUGAGGAUAGCAAGUUUCUGGUGGUUGCAGCAUCCCUGAUAGAAAAUCAUUAUCAAGGUUCUGAAACUUAUAGCUCAAACAGCUUUGAAAUAAAUCGAGUGAAUUUUAAAACUCUACUAAAGGAAAUGCCAUGAACUGAUUAACUUUUUAAUUAAGGAGAAAAGCACUUCUGCCUUUGUUUUGUGCUGGACAGGCUUACAAGAUUUAUCUCUUUAUACAACCACCUUGCUACACUCACCAAUCCCACUGACGGAACAGAAGAAGACAAUUCCAGUUUAUAUGAUGGAUCGGCCAGGCUUGCUACCAUUGCCACUUCUCCUUGUUGCUCCUGAGAAACAAGAGUACAGGUAAGAAAGCUGUAAUUUGAUUUUAAGGGAAUUAUAAUACUACAAUUCAAUAUUUUACAAAGCAGACAUCAAUGUUGCAUGAACACAAAAAAGUUUGAGAAAAAAAAAUGAGCAGCAAUCAAUGAUAAUUAUAAAUUUCCCAGUUGAAAGACUGAGCACAGAUUACAAGAUUACAAACGUCUUUGAUCUUGCCACUUUCAUGCCACAAUGAAAUAAGGAUCAUGUGCCAAGCAUAUUAUAAACUUUAUGCUGCUAAUCAUUUUCUGUAGCAAACGGCCACAAGAGUAAAAGCAAGCAUCAGCAAAAAACUUUCAGUUAUUCCCACUUUCAGGGACCUCUUAAAUGGUGGUCUUUGCAUGCAUAAAAGAGAUUACUAAAGUUCCAGAUAAUUAUAUCACUUCAGAAAAUGUAAUUAAGACUCCUUUUAUAGCAAGCUGUUAAUUUUUUUUUCAUACUUUAUGCAAGCAAGAAAAGAAUCACAUAUCAAGCAGAUAAUCUUGUUUCAGACUGAUCUUAAAACAGGGGCCUAAGUAGUCAUUUUCGAUUUAAUUUUGGUUUAAGCCAAGUCAAUCCCUUCCCAGUUGCACCAUAUAAUCCCAUAACAUUCUCUGGGUUGUAAUGGACCAAAAAAUCAAAAAAAAGAAAGUGACUACUUAGAAGCAAAGUAUUUAGCCACUGGUGUGAAAUAAAAUUGCAUAAUAGAAAAACAUAGAACCCAGCAAAAGGUUGCAGGAAGCCGCCAUUAUUCGCAAUUACUUGUAACAAGAUGAAUAAGUCAUCAGUCCGUUAUUUACCAAUGAUUAAACAAAUCUUAUGAAUUUGUGCUAACAUUGAUGUGGUCUAUUUUAUGAAUUAACAAAAUAAGAAAACAGCAUAGAAUUACAAUUAUGGAGGAAAUUUAAGGUGCAAGCAUUACUCAUAAGAGUGGUUUCUGUGGUUUCCGAAGCAAGUAGUUGGAAACAUAUUUUUCUAUUAUAUGCAUGAGUUGUAUCAAUAACGGAUAAACUUAUAAGGAACCAAUAGAGAUGGUGUGGCCAUGCAUGAUGGGAACAAAGUCACCCUAGGUGAACCUAUCUUGGUGGCUUUUGUAUAAUAAGGAUGGAAACUUAAUGGGAGGCCUGGAAGAGUCAGCUUAAUUGACAAGAAUGAAGCUCAAAAUAAAGCUUCUACCUAGAAACAAUGAAGGCCUUGAUAGAAACAAGUGGUAAACCAUAUCACUACUCAGAGCAGGUUGAGUAUGGCCUGUGAUCCAUGUCUGGUUAAUUAUUUACAUUGCUCACAGUAGCAAAAUAUAUCUGAAAAGUUCAUAAUUACAUAAAAUAAAUGACAAGAAAUUGCAAAAAUGACAUCAUUGGACUUGUAAUAGUUAUUGAAAAUCUGAUAAAUGGUGAAGCUGGAGCAGAGAAUAGAAAUCUUUAAGCAGAAUGGGGAAAGCAAUCAAUCAAGGCAAAGCAAUGCACUGAUGUGACCUAAAGGAAGUUGCUAGCCAGAAUCUGAUCAUUACAUGACUGGGACAAAGAGGAGGUAAAGAUAAACGGUUUUUUGGCAAAGAUUUUAUUAUGCCAGUAGACCUAAAAGUCAAAAGGUUGGUCUUCCCUCUGGACAAUAUGUCAGUCAACAUAUCACUGUUUACAAACAUUUUGGAUGAUAUAAGGAAGUAAGUUUGGUUUACAUUUUCAAAAAAUAUUUAAAAAAGAAAAUCUAAAGCAACUAAAUUAAGGAGCAUGGGUUAAGGUGAAUAUUGCAAAAGAAAUCAAAAAUUCGCUUGGUACUUUAAAGCAUGAAGUUUAACAAAGGCAACAAAAAUUAAAUUUAGGCAUACAAAUGGAAAACAAAAAUAAUCAGCAUAUAUGUCAGAGGAAAAUGCACCAAAGUGUGAAAGGGCAAUUCCUGCAUCAAACAUAGACAAUCAUGAAUGCAUUAUCAUAGUUAUAAUAUAGAUAGAUAGAACCUUUUGAGAUGAAUCAUCAAAUAAGUGUCACCAAGUGAAAAAUCAAUUGGAAUAGUAUGCCACAUUUUGCCUAUUUAAGUAUAUGUUUUGUGCCAUUCUGGAUUAUCAUCUUUAGCAGCCUAUCUAAAAGCAAUGAAUAUCUUAAAUUGGAAUAGCUAUAGUAUUGCUACAAAAUUAGAAUAUUUACAUAGCAAAAUCAAGAAAAAUAUCUCCGAGCAACAUAAAUGUAGUUUAUAAAUGAUUAUCACAAAGACACCCUCAAAUGUAUAACUCCAUGUAAAUGAGACUUUGAGUUAAUGAGAUUUAUCCAUCUGAAAGUAGGACAACCAGUCAUUUAUUUACAGAUUGCAGUUGCCACAUGUAUCUGUUUCAUACCUCCACAUUCUCAAGUGUGGAUACAAGUUCUAGCUCAAUGAUGCUGAUGAUUCUUAAAGUAACUACAGUAUCCGAAUAUCCAUCUUGAAAGGGACUUUCAUAGGCAUGUUUGUAACUUGAUGUCUUAAUGCAAACAAAUGGCAAUCUCCUCCACUUAUCCCAUUUGCCAAAAAGAAAAGCAUUUGGUAUGCCAGCUUUCUAGUGCACUUAACAAAACAAAGUCUUGUAUUAAUGUUUUUUGGUCUUUGUAAGAGCAAAAAAUUGUUCACUUAUAAACAUGAAAUUAAUGUUUCAAACUAAACUGGUAAAUAUGAUACGUAUAAAAAACUCGAUAAGCAUAAACAAAGAAUGAAAAUGUCAACCAAGCCAUUGCAACAGAAAACUUAUAUUAUUAAAGUAUGCUAUAAAAUUAAGAUACACAGUUGUGUAUCUUGUAUAAGUAUAACCUAACAGUUAUCAGAUGACACUCUUUGAUUUUAGGUGUCAAGAUGUGACAAAAUUCUAUCUCCCUCUCUCUCCCUCUGUGUGAGGAAUGGGGGUUGUAAAUGAUACAAAGCACGCACCUUUCUAUGGUGAUACUUCAAUAAGAAGCAACUGCCCAAGUGAAUGCAAGAAAGAACAGACUUGCUAUUUUCGAAAGUGCAAGAUAUAGACAAACACUGUGUUGAACAGCCUAUAUGAAGAUAGUCUGGCUCCCCAAUCUGACCAGUCUGAAACAUAAGCAGUCUUAUAAAAUAACUGCACAAGUUUUUCUUUAAACAACAACUCCAAGAAACCAUUAUUUCGGGAGGAAAGUUAGAAAGGAAUAGAUUAUGAAGAACUUCUAUCGUGACAUAGAUUAUGAAGAACUUCUAUCGUGACAUAGAUUGUGAAUAACUUUUAUAGUAAGAGGAAAUAGAAGAAUGAAAUAGAAUAUGAUGACCUUAAAAUCUUUUCCACAGCUUAAUCAUUAAGAUGAGUGAGAUAUGAAGGACCAAGAGAACUUUUGAUGUUUACGUGCCAUAAUAAGCCAAGACAAAUUAUAUAAGGGUUUGUGAGGGAAAACAUCAUGACACAACUGCUUUAAGAAGUUUUAUAUAUCACAAAAUUAAGUUAUAUAGAACAAUGCAUGGCUUCAGAGUCAAACUGCAUGAAGAAAGACGGCACAUAAAAUGGCAAUGCAUAUUUAUAAAAUUCUUUAAAACAUGAUUACAUGAUUCGAGACAAAGCUCCAAGAAGAAAGAUAUGAACUUACUUAUCUGAUUUUACCUACAGCUUAUCCAACAUUGUCUAAUCAAGAGUUACCACCAUAAAAGUAAUGGGGAAGCCAACACUUAGAUUUAUCUUGACACGCCUCAAAACAUGGACUAGAUAAUGAGAGGUCGAUAUGGCAGCGUUAUGAGCACAAAAAACAAUAACUUCUAAGCACUACCUACUCCCUCCUAUUAAAUGUGCCUCACAAGCGCAUUCCUCCGCACUAUAUACCUUUACUUCCUCUGUUGCUAACACAUAGCCUCAACAAUUACCCAUUAAGUCAUUCAGCACAGACCAAAUCACUUUAAGUUUUAGCUCAAUAGAGUUAUUUACUCUAAAGGUAUCGGAACCGCAAAAUGAUCUCCCCCUGACAACUCCUGAUGGCAAUGACCCCCAAAUGUUAAAGUGACAUGUGAAGAUUUCCUAAAAUUUCAAUAAAGAAAAAUCAACACGUUUCUUAAAUCCCCUCAUAUCAUAUCCACCGCCAACCUUUGUAGAACACAAACGAGAGAGAGAGUGUGUGGAUCAUAACCUACCCAGCUACCCCACCUCAGAGGAUAGUGCAAGCAGACAUGUCCGACAAUGUAAGAACAGGCAGCCCACUUAGGCAACUACUUGGCAACCAGGUCACUGCAUGAAGAUUCUUCUUCAGCAGCUUAGCCUCAAGUAGGGCAGCACGGGCCUACCAAGGCCUUCGCAGUCGCCCAGCUGCCUUAUAAAAACUGUUCCUAGAAUGUACACAGGAGGAGCUCCCUGUCAAGACUUUGAUAUAGAAACUCAUUUCCCACCCAAGUCAUUUCUCUUCCACCUUGUUCAUUUCCAGUAGUACCUCAAUUUCAUCAAUUAAUCAAACAUCUCGACCACGACAUUUAUCCUUGCCCAAAAUUUAUUGCUUUCCUUAGUCCAUGGUAUUACUGAUAGAAAGGAAAUGAAAAUGGGGGAACUUGGCCUGUAAUUUGCAUAUGUCGAUACAUUCCACCGCUACAUCUCUCACCUCCACGGCAUCAAAACGUCAUAUUCCUUCUUACAGUUGCUCAAUCUAAAUUUCAUGAGAGAUUACCAAACCAGAUUAUAAAUUAUAAUUCAGAAAAGUAAUGCAGGAGAAAACUGAACUACAGAUGGUUCGAUUCAAUUGCCAGGUGACCAAAACAACGGAGAAAAACGUCAAGAAGCGAUUUUUAUGAAACAGAAGGACGAGGAGAGGAUCAAAAGACGGACUUUGACAUCGUGGGUGGCCCGGACUUGUAGGAAGUUGGCGAGAUCGAAGGAGCCCUUGAGGAGGGCAUUGCGGGACUCUAGGUCGUAGAGGACGGCGAAGUGCUUGGUGAGGAAGCCGAGCUGGGGGAAGGCGACCUCGCCGCUGGGGUCGUUCUGGAAGGAGAGCUUGAUCUUGGCGAGUCGAUCGAAGAGGCGGCAGGAGACCUUGUGGAAGAACGCCGAGCUGUCGCUGUCGAACACCGACGUCACUCGGAUCGCCGGCCGGGGGACAGAGAAGGAGCGCCAGCCGGAAUAAGGGGGCGGUGGCGCCGUCGCCGGCAGCGGAAGGGAGGACGGCGGCGAUUGGGGGGAAUUAGGGUUAGGGAUUGGAGGGAUUGGAUCGCCCAUGGCGAGAGGAACGAAGAGAGAGGAGAGGGGAAGAAUAUGGUGGUUUUCUAUGGUAUUUUUAUUUUGAAUUUUGCGUGUUAUUUUAUGCUAUAAUUUUGAAUACAAGGCUGGUAAGAGCGGAAAUAGGUUUUGUAUUCUUUUGAAACGAGGGGCGGCAGAGAGAGUGAGAGAGAGGAGGGGUUUGGCCGUUUGGGAGGGAGGGAUUUUGGAAGUUUUUGGCAAUAUUUACAUUUUGGUCCAAGUUGAGGCCUCACAUUUAUUAUUUUGGUCCCUAUUCUCUCUCUAAAGGACAAACAAGGGUUGAGAUCAAAUUGAAUGAUGAUAAAAUCCAAGAAAAAAUUGAAUGGUAGUAGAGAGUGCUAGGAUAGGCAACUGUUGGGUCACCAAUUUAUGUACAUCAUAUUCUUCACUUGCCAAACUUAUAAUCAAUUCUAAGCUUACAACACAAGAAAGCUUAUAUAAGUUAUCAAACUACAAGAUUUUUGCUUUGAGAUGAAUUAAAUAUAGUAAAAAAUGAUCAGGUGAUUAGGAGAUUUGAAUAAAAUGCAAGUUUAUCAUCGAGAAAUUAUAAUUAUUGUCAUAAAAUUGCUUGCGUGCCCAAGAGAACAAUGUACUUGCAUUUCAUACUUUGUUUCAAGCUUGUUAAGCUUCCCCUCCCUCCUUCUCUCUUCUCAUGUAUGUGUGUAUUUCAUACGUUCUUAUGUAAGCGUGCUUUUAUUCAAACUAUAACCAAUGAAGUAGUGUAUUUCAUGAGAUAAGGUUAUUAAGUCAUCAAGAGUUAGUACCAAUGAUUUGAGUUUGAGCUCUGCCCUCAUCAAAUUAGGAUGGUUUUCCUCUCAUCCUAUUUCUCAAAAAGUAAAAGCUUAUUUCAUGAAAAAUAAAAGCUUUUAGGUCGAACACAAUAUAGUUUAAAAUUAUCAAGUCCAAAGGAACAAGCUAUAAAACAAAAGUUUAUAUUUGUUAUGCAUCAUAACCUCCCAUUAUGGUGUUGCCUAAAUACCAUUAUAUUGCUAAAGCACUAUAAUAAUUGUCAUGAAAUUAUCUGCAUGUUGACCUUAUAGUUUUUAUGUAUUUUUAUAUAUUGCUAUAUAUAUAUAUAUAUAUAUAUAUAUAUAUAUAUAUANNNNNNNNNNNNNNNNNNNNUAUAUAUAUAUAUAUAUAUAUAUAUAUAUAUAUAUAUAUAUAUAGUAUUACCUAAAUAUCAUUAUAUUGCCUAAAUCUUAGGUCCGAUUUAAUAGUAUUACCUAAAUACCAUUAUAUUGCAAUUAAUAAUUAUCAUGAAAUUAUCUGCAUGCUGACCUUAUAUUUUUUAUGUAUUUUUAUAUAUUAUGGAAAGUUUUUAUUUGGGUGUUUCUUUUUAAAAUAUUGAAUUAUCUAUAUUAAAAGUUAAUUUGCCCUUGAAUAUUUUUUUCCCACUUACUAUAUGGGAUGAGAUAAACCAAGAUCUUGAUUCGUCUUGCUCUUAGCCAUUCAUCAAGAUAACUAAAUAUGAAACUUCAAAAACCUCAAGUGACAAGUAGGUCAUAUUAAUGCUAUUGGUCCCUGAAAUAUCUAAAUCAGCAUCCACAUAGAGUAUUAGGUCAUAUUAAUUCUAUUGGUCCCUGAAAUAUCUAAAUCAGUAUCCACAUAGAGUAUUAGUUUUUAUUGGUCCCUUAUUUUUAGGAAAAUUAUAGAAACACCCUUUCUACUUUGAGAUGUGUAGUCACUCCUUUGGGCUUUAAAAAGUUUUAAUUGUGCCCUUUUAAUUACUACGCUGACCUAAUGUGAUCCCUCUACUUGUCUCCACUAAAUACCCUUGACAGUUGUUUGAGUUGAAAGCCCGAAUACUCUUUGCAUCUUUUAGGUUGGUGCACCGACGGCUUUAGGUGGUGGAAGGAUCUGGUAACUCAAAGGACCCAAAUAAAAAUUUCUUAAAACUGAAGUUUGUGUAAGUAAAAAUCGGUCAGAAGAUUAUUUGGAUACUGGUCCUUUUUCACUAUCCCGAUAUCUUCUUGCAAAUCUAGCCAGAUACGAUCCCAAGAUCCUCUCUCUCUUUUAUAUAUAUAUAUAUAUAUGGGUGCUGUGCCUCCCAAGUUUUCAUCCAUUGGUGGUUCCACUUCCAUCAAGCCAUUUCCAGAACCAUGAAGAGUCUCGGUUUGGUUCUAGCUCUCAUGGUAGCCGCGGCCGCCAUGUCGGUUGAAACUGCUCCUUCUGCAACGCUGACCACCCCUAAACCGGCGCCGUACACCCUUGAAUACUCCCAGAACCUGAAGGAAGUUCGUAAGUGCUAUGAUCUCCAUCAUCCCUUAGUUACGUGCUUACGGACGUGAUCUCCAUGAAUUUGCUCGCUAUUCAAGAUAGCUAAACGCUCUCUCUCUCUCUCUCUCUCUCUCCUGUUUCGAUUGUUUUUUUUCUGGUGAACAGCAUGUCCUGCUCCUUGCGACAAGAAGUGCUGUGGCUGCAUCUACUAUCGGUCGACCAUGCCCGAGUGCAUCUUCUGUCACGACAAAUGCCCAGGUGCUUGAUGCAAAAGAUGGAAGACCGUUGCUCAGAUGUUAUCAGAGAGAAUCGCUACCAACCUUAUCUUGACUUGUUCUUGAUAAUAACAGUCUUCUCUCAAAUAAAAACUUAUCCGUUGGCAUGUUCUUGUCCAUGCUGUUUGGUAGUCUACUGUUCUUCUCAGAAGAAUGGAAGCCAUCUAUGAAAGCCAAGGGUGGAAACAUAUGCUAUAUGUUCGAUAUUCCUAUGCAAACAUCUUCAUGCUAUAUGCUUCCAUUAAAGUACUCGAAGCCGCAUCCUCGCUCGGAUGAACCAGUGAGUCUUCAACUAGCCAUCUGUGAUAUGGACUGAUGCCACAAGGGGCGAGGGUUUAGGUUCAAUCAAGCUAGAAGCGUUAUGCUGUUAAUUAUAAGUAAUAACAUACUAAGAUUUAGAAUCACAAUAACACCGUAUUCAAAUUUAAAAGAUAUAUAUGCGGAAGACAUGUUGAAUACGAUUUUUUCAAUCACCUAGAAUAAUAGGUGCUGAAUCUUUUCUUCCUUGCUCCUCACAAAAGAUAGCCGUCAAUCGGACAAACUAUGAACCAUAUGGACCAUAUGGAAAGGAGAAGGGAACCUAGCAUUUAUAUAGGAAACAUAAGAGAGCCUUUCCAUUAAAGACUCCAAAUCCUAAUUGGGUUUCCUAGCCUAUAUAUUAAAAUUACCACAAUAAAUAGGACUCAAUCCUAUACAUCCAAGGUGCACUAAAGCCCAUAAAGCCAUACGUCUAAUCCGCUUUAUAAAACAAAAAUACGCAAUCAGUGGAAGCUAAUAUUUUGAAAUUAUUCUAACAUAUGCUACUUUUUCCUGCAGAGCGAUUGCACCCAACCAUGUGUUUAAUUUGUACAUUAUUUAAAGAGUAGAGUUUCUCCUAAAACAUAUUGGAUUCAGAGACAAGAGCACAAGCAUAAUGCUGCUAGCCCAACUACUUGCUAGAAGAGGGUAUCCAUGGAUUCAGCACCACUAUAAUUCUUUUUGCAUUAAUUCAAAACUAAUAUGUAAAGUAGAAGGCCUUUGUAACCUGAGCAUCACUGUAUCAUACAAGCCAUUUGAGUAUGCUCUAGAAUAAAGAUGUAGGCCAGAAAUUUUGCAAGUUUUUUGUGCACGACGGUGAGAGAUCAGUUGUAGAUCUCCUUUCCGGCGUGCUGAGGAUCAAUGAAAAAGGUCGAGUUUCCAAAAUUUGAAAGCAAAUCAUCAUUGCAAUUGAAUUAUAGCUAUAACUUUUGGUCACUUCGUGAUCCAUAAACAUCAUUAGAAUUUUGUUAAAUACCAUGACAUAUUUGUUAUAGAUCUCAAAGUGAUGUUUCUGAUAAUUAAAAUCACUAAAAUCUGAUAUAUAUGAGAAAUUAUGCCAUUUGAAAGUAGGGGGUGUAACAUGGGAUUGGCUCUGCAUGAACCUGCCCGCCCAACCCACAUAUCGGAUGUGGUUGAGUUAGGAUUAACCUUCAACUCAGCUUUAACAUAAUCUGACUUAAAUGACCUAACUUAAACCAAGCCCAGCUUUAACAUAUCUAAAGUCAAGUUGGAUUUCGAUAGGCUAUCUUGAUUGAGUCGAGUUAGGUCAAGUCAAGAAUUGGCUUAACUCGACUUGCACUUGAUUCAGGUUAGGUAGCCCAGUCAAAACCUGGCCCAUUGAAAGGAUAGGUCCACCCUUGAAAUUUAAUAUGUAAAUUUUGAAAAUUUUCUUCUUGAAACUCUGGGAUCACUGAGAUAUGGUAAAGACCCAUGUAGGCCUACCCAUGAAGUAUUAAUUUCUGUUUGCCACUUUUUGACUUAUAAAUUAUUGAAAUUUUAUCAAGGCUAGAUGUAACAAUUAUGGAUCUCAAAGAGUUUGUUACAAAAAUUCCAUGAUCAUCAAGUCUAAAAAUUUUUAUAAAAGAUUAUGAAUUUCAAAAAAAUUUAAAAAGCAGUCAUUAAAUUGACUACUUAAUGCUAAAACUAGUAAAAUUUGCUAAGGACCAUGAAAUUUUAGUUGUGAGUUUUCAAGAAUUUAAAAUUUUAUCAAGGCUAUGAGAUAACAUUAUUCCUCUCAAGAGUUCAUUACAAAACAUCUGAGUUUAUUGAAAUUCAAAUAUUCUUAUAAACAAUUAUGAAUUUCAAAAAAAUAGAAAAAUGUCGUUAUUAAAUUGACCACCGGAGGCAGAAACUAGUAGAAUUUUGUUAAGGACAUCUAAAUACUAACGGUAAGUUUUGAAGAAUCGUCUGCAAAGAGUUUCAAAUUACCAAAAUCCAUAUUUCCAACAAAAAAUAUACAUUUCAAAAAUUAAAAGAAACUAGUUGCUAAAUUACAAUAAACUUGUAGCUGUAUUUUGACCUGAAAUAUAUUGGAAUUCUAUAAAAUAUUAAUUACUGAUAGAGGCCUUUCUAACAAGUCCACAUAAAAUGCAAUAGCUUUCAACUAGUCGAAUCAACAUAUCUCCAAACUCCGAUUUCAACACAAGUUAUAAUGCAUUUAAUCUGUACGAUUAUAAUUAUACUAAAAUUGUACAAUAACUAUAAAUUAAUUAUAGUACCCUAACCUUAUACAAUGCAAUAGUUAUAUGUCACAUUUCUAAGUCCAGAACUACAAUUCUAACAUGACUUCUUACGCAAUAUAAUGGUAUGAGUUUGAUAAUUUUUUUCGUUAUGAUUUAUAAGUGAUAUAAAAAAAUCAUAAACUCAAGAAUUAUAAACUGGGACUCCAGCUAUACAUUCUUUUGAUCCAAAUCAUGGCUCCAUGUUGGAAGUCAAUCUAGAAUUUUAUUUAAGAGCAAAUUAUAUAAGGUGAUCAGUUCUUGAGCAAAGAAACUUCACAAAUUUGUAAACUUUAUAUAAAAGUCAAUCUAGACAUUUCCAAAUUCACGGCAUAGACGAAUACCCAAACUUCCACCAUAUGCCCAAACAAAUAGAUUCCUAAACUCAUAGAGUUUGAUUCCCAGUGACAUUUAAAACCAUAGAAUAUCAUAAAUUUUUUGUGCAUCAAAGACACCCAAUGAUGUUCUUCAAGACUUGCUACAUGGCUUUAUUGCACAGAACUAUGACAAAAGUAAAAUUACAUCAUGUAUCAGAUAUUAGGCUAAGCAUUAUGGUCCUGUACCGAUUCUUAUGUUUUUUUUUUUCACGAGCUAUCAACUGAAGGGGUGUAAAAGAACGACAUAUGGUUCCGUACCAACCUUUUAUGAUACUUCUUUUACACCAGAACUAUCAAUUAAAAGGGAGGUAAACGAAUGAAACAAAAUACAAAUACCAGUAACUGCGUUUGAGUCCAGAAACCCAAAAAGCUUCCAAGAGGAAGAAACGGAAUGCAGAAUCUGACUUCCAAGUCUAAUCAACAAGUCCAAGACAAGGCAUCCGCCAAAAGCAAUGCCUGAGCUACAACAGCACUAUUACACCAUUCUAUCAACAACACACCAAACAACAUAUUUUUCAGGACAACCUAUUUAUAGGAAGGUCUUUAUACCAUACUGGUGGUGGUUACCAGCUUUCCCCUACCCAUGGUGAAUCCUCUCGUCCCAUCUGGCAUGCGAGGACCGGGAGGUUGCUUAUUAGCCACCACUGGCUGUUCGGUGUGGACAGGAUGGCUCAAGGGUGAACUACUGCCAAUCAUAUGACCUCCAUUAAGAUUAUUGUUGUGAUACUGGCCACGUCCUCGACCCUUCCCUCCCCGGCCCCGACCUCUUCCUCUCCUCAGUCCACCAUCCUUCUCACUGUAAAGAGCCUCACCCUAUCCAAGGUAACCAGUUAGAAAAACUAGAAAAACUAAAUGCCAUAACCUGGUCUUAAGUUUAAUUGGAACAAGAAAUUGACCAAUUUUUGCUAUGGAGAAAAAAAGGAUCUUCCACUUUACCACAUUCUCAUGUGAUGCUUCAGAUAAUUGCGAAGGAUCUUCCACCUGCUUCUCAUUUGGCUGGUCAGAUGUGGAGACAUCACCCUCUCCAUUAACAUCACCUUCAUGCCCUCCCUUUCUCCCUCGAGCUGGCCCAUGUUUUGUCUGGAGUUUUAAUGGUUAAAAAAAUUAGUAACAACGUGUAUCUGAAAGAAUCAACAUAUAUACCAAAAGAAUCAACAUAUUGUACCAACAGUUUUGAACUUUGCCAUGAUAUUAAGAUGAAAAACUAGCAUCAGAUGCUAUCUUUAGAAUGUUUUAUCGUCUUUCUUCACUUAGCAUACAAAUUUGUAAACAGUAUAGGAGGUGCUUGAAUGGCCCUUAAUGUUGCUUGAAGAAUAUUCCAUAUUUGGACAGAAACAAAUGGAAUGAGAAGUUGGAGGGGAUUGAACAGUUUCCAAUGAUGCCUAUGCAUGAGAAGCCAAGCUUCUUUAAAAUGUGAUUUGUGGUAAUCCCAAGAAUCAUGGGAUUGUGGGAUCUACAUACUCUCUAAUUCUCCCUCCUUUGCCACCAGUUCUAUUCAAGGCUUUUCAGCACAUGAAUGGAAUAUCGUACUGAUACAACAGCAGGACACACAAGACCCCUUCAUUGAAAGCAAAGAUAGUGGUUAAUACCAUGCAUUUAAGCAGUAAACGAACUCGGAGCCCACUUCUCCAGUUCCUCUCAUCAUUAAGCUCAGCAAUCUGUAUGCCAGGAAAACCAAUAUAGCCAGAGGAUAAUGUGAUGAGAAAACACAACCAUAUCAAAGCAAAGUGUAGAAUUCGGUUAAAAACUUACUGCUUUCUCAGCAUCUUCAACCGUCUCAUACUCAACAAAUGCAUGCAACUGUACAUGAAUCAAAUGAAUUAAACAAAAAACAAAAUUCAAAAUAUGAAUAAGAGUCAGUUUUUUAUGUGAACACACGUACAUGGCGCUUGUGCUCCAUUAUAAAAUGCAACAUGCUAAACAGGCCAUCUGCAAGUCUUAAUGGAGCAACCAAGUCUAAAACAUACCAAAAUUAUUAUAGGUUUUUUUUCAAAAAAAGAAAAAGUAUCAACCUACACUUCAACAGUAGAAUUUUAAUCCUGAAGACUUAAAAUAUGUUUGCAAAUGUCAGAUCCACAAAUUAAGUGCUUUGCUACUGUACAAGCAAUCACAUAUAUGUGACAUAUGACAACAAAAUUUGGUAGACAAAUCCACCUUACAGGUUAAAACUAAUAUAAACAUUAAACAACUUCAUAACUAACACAUAAAUUUAAAAGAUGACAGUUCUAAUUAAUAUAUGCACCUACAUAUAAAUAGCUUAUGCAAGUUAUUUGUUAGGAUGACAAUCUGACAUUUUAACAGAGUUUGGAGAAGUCACAUUUAUACAUCACCAUUACUCUCAUUCCUCACACAAUCACAUGCUUAGAAGAGAAAAAGAAACAAAAAAUGCAUAUUCAAAAUAAAAAAAGGAAAUCUCAUAUCCAAAAACCUCUUAUAAUCGUGUAACAUUCUUUUUGACAGGUAACAUAUGCCAAUAUAAUGUGCUGACGUCAUAAAAUUGUAUACGGCAACUCCUGUAAGAAAUAUAAUAUCAGAGCCUACUCAAGCCUUCAUUUUAAAACACAAAAGUCAUAAAUCAUGACAUCAUAACCCGUCUAUGCUGCAGAAUAUGAAUCCUGUAUCAUCCUUUCUGUGCCUGUCAUUGCCCGAGCUUUGGAGCAUCACCAAGAUUCAGAAACUCAAAAUUAUAGUCAGUGGAAACUUCGUUGGAUUCCAGUCAAACUUGUGCUCAUUUCAGCCCCACAUCCCUCUAUUGUUCUUCCUUUUCAAGCUGAUGGAUACUGAAUGUUAAUCAAUUUCACAGCAACUACCACUACUAUCACUCAUUUCACACCCAUAAGGCUUCUCUAGAGAGACGUCUGGCCAUUACAAUUAAAACAAGGGCAGUAUAAGAAUAGCAGCAAAUAGAACAUGUCUAUACAUUUUGUUUAAAUUUUUUUGGCCUAAGAAAAAAUUUAUAUGGCUGUUUUUAAUCCUCAUUCUUCACUCAACAUCUGUUUGCUAGUGUUCAAUUAUUACUACCUAUUAUGCCUCACACAUUUUAGGUUAAUUAGCCGAAUUGAUGUUUCUGGAUGCUUGCUGACCUUCCAAUUAGUAUGCACCAACCUGAACCUCAAAGGGGGUUAUAUUGUCAAAAAAACCUUUGUUUUGAUCUAGUUAGUGUAAAAAGCCUAAACUCGAUUGUUAUACUAAUUUGGUCUAAGCUUUUUAACUAUAUUUCUCAUGAUCCUGUACACUGAUCUGUUAAAUUUUAAAGUCAAGCAGUCUUCAAUUCACUCUCGAAGCACUCCCACCUGCUUCAGAGGCACUAAACCAACCCAUGUUACAAUCCAGAUUGACUAGUUCCUCAUGGUUUCAAAAGGUAAUGACCUGGUUCACCCAGGUUGCGUCGAGGUCACUUGUAUAAAAUCCCUCAUCCCCCCACCCUCAUUUUGAUCCUAUUUUUCUCUCAUUUCUCUUCUCGCCUCACAUUCUCUCUGCUUGAUCUCCUCAAUGGCCCCUGAUGCCUUCAUCUCUGCUGCAACCUCCAGCAUCAUGCUACUCGGAAUCCCCCACCGAGUCGCCACCGACAUCCGCCCAACGCCAUCACCUGAGACUAGGGUUUGGCCAGGAGAUGUCGAAAGGGAUCUCGGGGCCUACUUCACCAACUCCAGCAUGUCCACCACUACCAUUGGGUACCUUCCCCCACUCUCCUGGUGAAUCCUGGGGGUAAUGAGACUUGGUCGUCAUGAUGCUACAUACCAUGUUGGUAUAGCAGCAUAUUAGUAUUAUCGACCCAAUACCAGAUUGGCAUAGGUCACGUUGCCAUCCUUGGUUAAUUUCUGUUAAACAGUUUGAGUUAUUUGUAUUCCUUUUUGGAUCUUUCACUUACUUCACUUUCACUUCAAAGCUUCUUUAGAUUCCUUUUUCUCUUUGGCACUUCAACACUAGUUAUACAAGUGAAAAUAAUGCUAAGCCUUGUGGUUUAGCAAGUGAAAGAUAGAUGAUACCUGUAACAGCUAAAUUCCUAGAUAAGAAGGAUGUGAAACUUGAUGGAAUUAAUUAUAGAGAAAAACCAAUUCUGUGGAGCUUCAAAGAAAGCUUGCUCCAAUAUGAGGCAGAUUUAAGGUUCUUUUGAUAAUUGAGACGAGGACACCUUUGUUAACCCAUAUGCCUUAACUAAAUCAAUAUUUCAUUUCUAGAAAUACAUCACUCCCUAUUGUGUCAUGCACAGAAUGUUAAAUCAUGUUGAAACGCUUUACAAAUGAUAAGGUGACAAAAACAUUCAAGAAUCUAUGUUUGGAUAGAUAACUUGGCUAUAGCUCAGAACUAGAGGCUACAAAUGUGCCUUAUACAUGACAUCAGAAAGAUUCGGUUGAGAGGUGCCAAGAUCAACUUCUAAUGCAUUUCAAACUUAAGACUUAGAGAAGAAAAAACAAAAAAAUGGUCCAAAAAGAAAGAAGGUAAAGUGAAAAAUUAUUCCAUAUUAUGACUUGUUAUGACAAAAGCAAAAUUUACAGAGUAAAAUGCAAAUAACCACAAAUUAAUCACUUGCAUAUAUACGAUAUGAUCCUAACAUAUAAUGUAUCCCCUCGACAAUUUAGUACUUUUAUGAAACAAGCAUAAUAACAGAUAAAGGUGCACACCCUGUUGCCAAAAAGCAUAUCAAGCUUUGCUGAUUUGUUAGUCGAAGUGGUUGUGCCAUUGUUGGUUUGAGGAUAGCAUGUACGGAUCGUUUUUACACUGCAGUACAGCAUGGAUUUAAGUAAAUGAUGUUGAAAAAUUGCUGAUAUCAAAUUUAUAUAUGGAAAGAAAUCUCUACCUCCCAACAACAGAGAAAACUUUCAUAAGGUUUUGGUAACAAUGAUCCUCAGGUAGAUUUUCAGCCACAACAAUGCGUGACUAAAAGGAGGAGAAAGGAGAUAAACAAACCCAUCAUUUACAGUCAGAUCAUAUAAAGUGAUGAAAUGACUCAAUUGAACUGACUAAAUGUAACCUGCAAUUCUUCCAUAUCUGAUUCAGCAAAAGGCUGUUGGCGCCUAACUUUCUUUCCAUCAUCACUAACAACCUGCAAGAUAACCAUAUCCAGGUACCAUAGAUAGCACAAGUUACAAGUAAACACACAUUAGCAAAUGGUGAUGACUAGUAAAUGUGUUUGUAUCAGCAGAUGUGGGAGAGAGGCUUUGACUGGCUUAUGGGUUGUGAACUAAAGCCAACUAAGCAUGACUGAAGAACUUACGAGUUUUGAUGAUGUCCGGAGAGCCAUAGCCAGCAGGGAGUUGUUGUGGACAAGGGCUUUGAUUUUCUUAAAUGCUGCAAUUACUGAUAUUGGCACUGCACACAAAAUAAUACAAAUUCUGAAUUCCUACGCCAACUUGAUCAAAGCAGGUAUCCCAGAUUUUCUUUCUUAUAACCUCUUAGCAGAUCAGAUAUAUCAUAUUGCAAAGUGAGAGUGCAUCCGUACAUAUGAGAGAAACAAGUUAAAAAGUGAUACAACCUUCCACUCAAAAAAAAAAGUGGUAAAACCUUUCAAUGUUUGAGAAUAAGCAAAGAAACAUUCCUUGUUUAGUUGGGUUCCAACCAUUAAUGAGCAUGUUCUGCACCACGAAUUACACCAGGAUCUGUGGCUAAGCAAGCCAUAAUACAACAAACACUACAUACUCAUCUCUUUCUCAAUUCUAAUCAAGAACCAAGCUCAACUUUCAAUUUAACAGACCUUCCAGUUCAAAGUGAUGUAAGUAAUGUUUAAAAGGACAAGCAUGAGGCACCGCUCCAGAGUUGAAGCAUUAGCUUAUACAGGCUUACUUGCAAUUUUAAGAUGCUCAGGCCACUUCUCAUCCUAGAAGAGAGAGCAAAGCCAUUACCUUCAGAGUACCCACCUGCUACGAGGAAUCCUUGGUACAAGGAGUAGCUCUCGAGCAUGCUACUGAAACCUAAGGUCAUUUGCGCCCUACCAUAAAUAUUAUUUCCUCAAAAGGAAACAAGUACCUACAAUCAUAGUCAUGGAUGUAGCAGCAACUAAGACUCCGCAGACCACUCCAGCUGCCUGACCAUUACUUUUCUGGCACCUAGAUAAUUUUCUCACAACCCUCACCUUCUAUAUACUUCCUAGCACACUUCACAAACACCCUGUUUUUUCAGCAAUAAUCAUUUCACAAUCAAUACGACAUGCCAUAUACAUGGACUAACAGUAACCAUUAUCCAGAAUUAACAAGUGCCUUCCCCAAUAGAGAUUUGAAACAACAGAGGGUCAACUCAAUGCUGAAAAAGGAUAAAAAGAAGGAUAUGUGGCGAGCUAUUGGAUCCUGGUUCCUAUCACCCGCAGCCACAAGCAGUCUAUGAUCCAUACGAAUACAGAUAUGGAUAUGAUGCAUGUAAGACAUCUUCCGGUGGCUACUAUGCUACGCUACCUGGAGCAUCUUACGGGUCGGAUUUUAUUGUUGGCAUAUUCAGAUGGGCUCCUCCACAGUCAUAUUAUAAGCUACAGGACACCUCUCAGAGUUAGAGCUUCAACGAGAAAUCCGAGAGUGCUUACAACUCGGCGCACGUUCCUCAUGAGAUAAACAUACAAGACUAUAACGCCGCUUGGUUAGAUGGGUGGGUUGAUGUGCCUCCUGAUUAUACUGAUGAUCUGAAUAUCUACGAGGAACAUCGUCACUCGACCUAAUUUUAAAUAUCGGUAUAUAUGUUAGACUUUAAAAGUAUGCAAUUGCUUGUAUUAUUUUUUAAUUUUUAUGUCACUACGCGAUUUGAGAAUAUUUUAUGUUGUUCAUUUUAUAAUUCGUAUCAUUUUAAAGCAAUAAGAUGCAUCAUCUAGAUUAAACCGAGAUCAUAAAAACAUCAAAAAACAUAAAAAAAUAUCAACAAAAAUCAAAGUAGACUUAAAUUCAUAGAAAAAGUUUGAAAAGAGUGAUUUCCAAUUAAAUUAUUUUUUGAGAACUCCAAAAAAAAUUAGGGAGUGCCGAUCCGUGAAUCGGCACGCCCUACCGAUUCAGUUCGGCAUGGAACUAGUACCAAGCUGUACCGGACGCCGACCGGUACGGAUCCAGAACUAGUUCGGCGGACCUUGAUUAUACAAAAAUAUCUUUUUGGAUAAUGUAUUCAGAAGAACAAAGUUGAAUUAAAACCCAAUUAAAAUAAUUGUAACUUAAAAGUAUUGACAAUAUAAGAAACACCAAGUUUGGUAAUUUACCACUUGCUUUCACAAUGUCUUGAUAGCUAGGUCACACCUGCUAUGCAUUUCAUAAUUGCAUGUACAAGAUAUGAGGUAAUUAAAAGUAUGAUCUAAAUGUCAUAAGUAUAUAAUGUUGUUUUGUUGUCAUUUACAAGAAAUGGUUCAUAUGGUGAAUCAAGCAGCUUUACCAUUAUGCAUAUGAUUAUCAACAUUGCCAAGCAUAUUUUAAGUCAUAAAGUGUAAAAAUUUUGAGUUAUACAUAUGGCUGCAAGUUGUUUGUCCAGAUUGGCCGGUCAUUCAUGGUUCACUUCAUGUAGCCAGAGGCAGAGAAGAGAAUCAGAAAGCUUGUCCGCUGUCAAGCAGCGGAAUGGCAAGUUCCUCAGGGACUACAUUAGCCACUUUAACACAACAACUUUGGAGAUCCACGUCCUUCAGCAUGUUCGCCCAAGGUUGACUAGCCUCUGGUAUGGAAGCCCUGGAUUCUUCGGACCGAAUGGCAUGACUCUUUAGCGAGUCCCUUGUUAGUGAUGGAGGUUUUCUCUUCGUCCUCAGGAGCCAUCUGAAUUUGAUUGUAGCUCGAGAAUGCGUCCAUGAAACUCAGCAUUUGGUGCCCUAACGUCACAUCCGCCAGCUAAUCGAUCCUCAAAAAUGAAAACCGUCCUUGCGAUAGGCCUUGUUGAGGUCGGUGAAGUCUAUGCAGAUUCGCCACUUCAUGUUGGCCUUCUUCACGAGGACAACAUUUGCUUUCCAAUCAGGCUAGUCGACUUCUCAGAUGAAGCCCGCCUUCAAGAGCUUGUCCACCUCCUCGUUGAUGGCCUACUGCCUCUUCGAGCCAAAGCACCUCUUCUUUUGUCGAACAAGCUAGUAUGUCGGGUCCACAUUCAACCUGUGAACAACCACGUCAGAACUUAUACUUGCGAUGUUAGAGGUUGACCAGGCGAAGAUGUCAAUGAUAGCUCAGAGAAAGUCCACAAGCCAAGCCUUGGUUGCUUCAUUGAGGUGGGCUCUGAUUUGCACCAUCUUGCUUGGAUUUGUUUCAUCGAGGGGGGCCGAAAGGAGUUCUUCAGCCGGUUCUCUUUGUUUCUACUUCUGCUCGUCUCGGACGUCAAAGCCUUCAAUGGGGAGUGCUUCUAUAGGCUUCUUUCCUUAAAAUGUCGCCAUGUAUCACUAUUGAGCUAGUACUUGGCCGUCGUGGAUCUCUCCCACACCAUCCCCGAUCGGGAACCUCACCAGCAGAUGAUAUGUUGACACUAUUGCUUGUAGGGCAUUUAGUUCGGACCGUCCCAAAAUGGCAUUGUAUGCCAAGAGAACUUUCACUGCCAGAAAGUCUAACAUCACGAUCGCUUGCCUUGGAUCUUGGUCAUCCAUGACUGAAAGAUAUUGUUCCUUCCAUGGUGAUUGGGUCUUUCGAGAAUCCAAUCAGAGGAGAGUUAAUCCUCUUUAGUCGAUCGACAGGCAAGUUUAUCUUAUAAGAAGCCUCACAAAAUAAUACGUCCGCAGAGCUUCCAUUAUCUACUAAAAUUCAUUUUACAUCAAAGUUUGCAAUGGUUAAGAAAACCACAACGACAUCAUCAUGAGGGGUCUACACGUCCUCAAUAUCAGCAUCGAAGAUCAUCUCGUCCAUCCUCUGGCUCUUCAAGAUCGAACUCCUUGCUUGGGCUACCUGAGUAUAACUCCUCCGCGAAGACAAGCUUAUCCUAUCAGCUGCCAAUCCACCCGAGACGGAGUUAAUGACUCUUGCAGUUGGCCGAUUGUUGAUCUCCUACUCGGGGGCAUCUGCUCCCAGCCAACAUUGUUCUGAUCUUGCUCAUUGUUGAUGUAGCAGCUAAGGUACCAUCACUGAAUGAGAGCCUCAAUCUCUUUUUUGAGUUGUAGACACUCCUCGGUGUCGUACCUGUAGUCUCGAUGGAACUUACAUAAAUUGCUUUUGUCCUUUCAAGCUACUGACUUCAUCUUCCAAGGCCAUUUUACUUAGUUCCAAUUUUCUAUUUUCAUCAAGAUAUGCACAUAGGUGUUAAAAGGCGUGUACCUCUCGAAUCUCCAAGAUGGACUCUUCGGUCGGCAGAAACUUUUCUCCUCUCUCCUGGACCUCUUUCUAGGCUCUUCCUUCCCUUCAUGAGCCUACUUAUUUUUCUUCUUUAGGUUUGUCCUUGGCUAACUUUCACCGAGCAGCCAUAGCUUCUUCCGAAUUGAUAUACUUUUGGCUCAAAUGAGAAUCUUGGCAAAAUCUUCUGGGAACUGAGAUGAUUUUAAUCCACUCCUUAGAGCAGCCAUCGCGACUGAGCGACUUUGAUCAUGGAUCUCCAAAGUUGUCGUGUUAAAGAAGCUGAUAUAGUCCCUAAGGGAUUUGCCUCCAGCUGCUUAACGGCGAACAUGCCUUUCGAUCCUCUCCUUUGCCUUUGGCUGCUCAUAAAGUGAGCCGCAAACAACCGGCCAAAUUGCUCGAAAGAAUGGAUGGAGUUCGACUACAACCCAAUUUACCAUGACCGAGUUGCUUUCCGAAGGGUGGCUGAGAAAGCUCGGCUGAGCACCACGUUGAUGGCCCUCUAGAGCAUCAUAAGAAUUUUGAAGCUCUCCAAGUGAUCUAAAAGAUCCGAAGUUUCAUCGUAUUUCUCCAGCCGCAGCAUCUUGAAUCGAGGUGAGAGAGGCUCCUCCAUAAUCCUUGCCAAGAACAGGGUUCGGUUGUGAAGCCAAUGUUGAUCCUGAGCUCCACGUUGCAACCCCUCAAAGCUUUAUUGUAGUGAUCCAUCUCCUUGAUCUUGCGAUAAAGGUUGGCCUCCCUCCUAGAGACCCUCUUCGAUUAGCAGAGGGAUGAAUAGCCCGAUGUCGAUCCUUCUUAAGACUGAGCUCGGCGACCAAUGCCUCCUAUCUCAUCCCGAGCUUCACAGACAAGAGUGAUGGUUGUGUUGGGCCCAUCCUAGGCUCCAAGAAUAGAAGCGAUGGAUUGGUUGUCCCUGCCCUAAGAUUUGAGGAUAAGAGUGAUGGCUCAUCGCGCCAAGUCCUCAUGGUCGCUCCGCAUGCGAGCCUACUGGUGCUGGUAGUGGUGGUGGUUGGCAGUCAUCUACUGCAAAUUUUGGAUAGCUGUGGUCAGCAUCUAAACUUGCUGCAUAAACAGUUGAAACUGCUCGAUGGUAACCGCCGAUGCUACUUGCGGCUCCUGUAGAGACAAAGCCCUCUAAGGAAUCUAAAGAGAGCCAUUAGACUCUGGGGGUGCGUCCUGCUGGGCAGUAUUUGAGAUAUGAAAGAAGACCAAAUAGAUUUAAUCUUCCCUAAAUGCCCAAUAACAACAUUUGCAUGUAAUUACAUCUUGUGUGGGAAAUGUAAUGCCUUGGAUUUAAAUGGCAAAGACAGGAGGAAAAGGGAUCAAAAAGGCGAUCAAUCCUAAAAUAUAGCAUCUUUGGCAUAAUUCAAUUUGCCUUUUAAAUGCAUUACCAUUUCUAUAAAACAAUAUAGAUGGUAAGUUCAGCUCCAACUCAAAUAUCGAACCGCUACCCUCCUUCCUUGGUCCUUAUACAUCAGAGAGCAUUUAAUAUGCAGAUCUAUUUUUUUACAUCAUAUGUUGUAUAUCGGUGAAAUAUAACAUGAAGCCUUUAAUUCAACUGGAUAGACACAAAAAGAAAAAACAUGUUCUUGAACCAAAUUCCUUGUUUUUUCUUAAUAUUUUAUUUCUAUUGGACAAUCGAACCAUAAUUUAAUAACCACGAACAAAACCACUAAAGUUUUAACUACCACCUCACAAAAUAAAUAAAUAAAAGUUACUAUUACCCUCUAUUGAAGUGAGGGCCCUUAGUCCCAAGUUUAUUGCCGCUCAUCAAUAGAAAUGCCACCUAAGCCCAUCGGCAAUUGCUAACAGCCGAACCACCUAAAGUGCGAUAAAUAUUAUAAGGGUCUAGUAUCAUCAAAUUUAUUUUGCGAAUGUUACAAUUUGAGCAUUUAUAGCAUGAUUAGUUGGGCUUUUCCAAAAAAAAGUUUGCACCUUGAUCAUCCUUAAAAGCAUAUCAAUACUGGAAAUAAGCUUACCUAUUAAGAAAGGGGUAAUGAAAAUAAAAUUCUAAUCUUGAUCUUAAUAAAAAAUAUAAAACAUUAAAAUCAAAAUAAAUAAAAAACUUUAGAACUAAAAUCUAUUUAACAAAAAUAUUUUACCAAAUCCCUCUGGAUCUUUACUAAUGAACCUCAUCAGGUGUUCUGUGGUAGCCAAAUUUACGUCACUGAAAUAAUAUUCCACCUGCAAAUAUUAAAUAAUGAAUUUUGUGAAAAAAGAAAAUCCUUUCCACAUAUCAUAGUGUUAAACAAUCAUCAAUGCAAUAGAAUUUUGCAUCAGAAACUAGUCAUGUUGGCAAUAUUUAGCUAAGGUGACAAAAAAUGAGUUACACGAGCAGGAAAAUGACAGCUUAUUUAGAGUGAUAGCCAUUGAUUAUUUGAUUCUUAUAUUUAUUUCUUACUUCAAAUUUGAUUUGUUUUUAAAAGGGAAAAAAGAAGCUAAUGGACUUCGAAGGAGAGGAGGUAACUCAAAAGGAGAGUGAACAGAUCAUACUCUAAUCGACUCUUUCAAAAAAUGCUAAAGUCAAACUGAGAGUCUAUUGUAAAAAGUUUACAAAAGAUCCAUCAGAAUUGGAUUGUCGACAACCCAGUAAACUGAACCUAUUCAAAAGUUAUUGGACAUCCAGGUUUAAUGGGAACACCAAGCAUUAAAAAAAAAGCUUCUAACAGUAUUCUUGAGAGCCAAUUAUUUAUGUAAACGUGGGAGUCAACUGCAAAAGUUUACAGGCUUCAUCAGAAUUAGAUCGUAAAGCAACCCACUCCCAUCCAACAAGAGUAAUUCUGCACGCAAAGUUUAAGAGACCACCAAGUAUUAAAAAAAAAAAAAAAAGAAACAAGUACAUUAACAUUAUCGCAAAGAAAAAACCCUCAUUAGAAAUUCAUUGCAGAAUCUUAUGCGAAAUUUUUAUGAACUAGCUACGAAUUAAGCUAGUCAAUAUGCAAUCUCUUUAACAACCCAGGACCUCACCCAAAAAGACCAACCGGAAGGUGUUAUUUCCUAAAAUUAGCUAGUCACUCCGUUGAUCAUGCCCCGUGGAAACACAAAAUCCAUGCUUUAUAGUAUUCUUUCCAAGGCUUAUGAUCAACUACCCUCGAAUCAAAGGACAAAUUUUAUGAGCAUGAAAUUAAGAGAAAGAAUUCAAGAAAUCACUCACCUGCUUCGUAAUCUUCUGAAUAACUUCUUCCGAGAGCCCAUCCCUCGCCGGCGGAGCCGGAUCCGAAUCAGCCAAUGCCGGAACCGCCUCCUGCUCCCCAAACGCCGCACACCCUCCGCCGCCAUAGUACUCGAACGAGCCCGGCGCCGAAGCAAAAAACGGCGGGCUCGGGGGGGCUGGGUGGUAGACGUGCAUCAUCGGAGGCGGGCCGUGGCGGAUCGGGACCAGCCGCGGCUGGCGCGCAUCGAUCCGAUCCGCGGCCGGAAGAGGGAGCGGCGCCGCCGCCCUGGGGACGAACUCGGGCGCCCGGGCGUUGAGGCGGCUGGAAGAGGCGUUCCCGUCGGGGUCGCCGGAACCCGUCGCCGGUAGGACGCCGGAGGCCCCAGCCUCGGGGACUUCUAGGGUUUGUUGGAGGAUUUCUUCGGCCAUUUUGCUUUCUUGGCCUAGGGUUUUGAAUAGAAGCCCGAGAGGGCGGAGAAUAACGGAGAGGAAAUUCUCGAGAGAAAAGAGGGGUUCUAUCGGCGGUAUUUAUAGGCUGACCCCCGAAAACACACGGGAGAGAUGGGUCGGAAGAACGCAGCGGCUUAUAAACAACCCUAUUAACUAAAAUACCUACUUUUUCAUAUAUCUGCGAAAAUGCCACUAAUCCUGUUACGUGGCUAUUCUCUAGUGGAUAGACCCCGUGUCCGGGUGUUGUAACCAACGGUGGCCGUCGGAUGGUUUGAUAUGGGAGCGGCCCGGGGUGUGAGUGGGGUGGAGCACCACAGCACGAUGCUUCGUGGAAUCCGGUUCACGGAAUCCGUUGGAUCUGACACAUGGGUGAGAUCGGACGGUCAAUGGAUCAUGGGAACCGGGAAACCAAUCAGGGUCGUGUUUCGUGAGCACUAGCUGACACCUUUUGAUCCGUGUCAGACAGCGAACUCUCCCUGUAUCCUCGUCGGUGGCCAUAUCUAGUGCGCAAUGAUGCCACCUUUCCCUGCAUUGAUCCAAGAAGAGUUCCAUGAGGCCCAAUCACUGCUCCUUCAUGACGCGUGUUAGACCCGUGUAUCUCAACUUAACCUACGGCUCAAGCUACGUAUGGGUCGAGUUGCACCGCGCCACUUGUGGCUAUUUGGACGGCGUUGGAGCUCGCGGUUGGUCCUUGGUGCCAAUCAAUCACCUUAGUCCUGUUAAUUGUGCUAACGGUAUUUUUGAUAAUAAAAUUAGGACCAAAAUUUACCAAUCCAUACGUACUAUAGCAUGUUAUUACCAAAUCGGCAUGCGAUACGGAGGUAUAUGGAUAGUCGGUAUACUGAACGAGCAUCAUAUUAGAUAUACCGUCAACACUGUAAUAGGCUGGUAAUAGCAUAGAGUUUGGUAUUAAAUGGAUGAAUUUUGGUUGGAACAAUUACUAAAUGAGCCAAAAAUAUUUUUCUUUGGCUGGAAAUUAUUUAAUUAUUUUCAAAUUAUUUAUUAGUCUUAUCAUUCAUUUGUGCCCGGCUUUCAACUAAUUCAAAAUAUUUAUGAUAUAGGAGGGACUCCUUAUUACGGAUCCAAUGAUUGGACCUAUUUGCACUUGAGUGUAUGCGCCUGAGGUGGUUGUAGCUGAGUGUGAGGAUACUUGACAAAGCCUACUCACUAUCGCUGAUCACUUUCAACAUGAAUGGUUAUAACCAUGACAUGAAAGGCAAGGUAGAUGUGAUCCUCCCGUAUCGUAACACUUGAAUCUAAAUUCUAUCGCCAAAAAUAAUAGUGUUUAUCAGUUUAGAAGACAAGUAACAUGAUCAUUCCUGCACAUCUUACAAGAAAAGUUCUAUAAAAUAGCACCAACACCAUAGUAACAUGUCCAGAUCAAGAAGAUAAUUAACAACAUUAUACAGGAGGAAGUUGGAAUAGAAGACAAUGUAUAAUUCAAUAUUUGGCAAACUGGUUCAAAGAAUACAGAGGUCUCUUUCUCUGUAUCAUUUUGUUUAAAAGUUUGUCCAUCUUCCCUCAACCUACAAUUUCAUAAGAAAUAAUAAAUAUGAGCAAAAGGAGCAGCUAGCUUAUGAAAAUAGUAAGAUUAGGAGGUCUAUUGUCCAAGAAAUAGAGAAGUAUUGGCACACAUUAUAAACAAAUUAAACAUGAGAAUAUGUACAAGAGUAGAACAUGGUAGUCACUCAGAAAGCAUUAGCAAAGCUUCGCGGAAGCCUACAGUCUGUUGCUCGGAGGGAGAAAAGAGAAGAGAGCACAGGGAGUUUAAUUAGUCAUUGCAGAAGCUUAGAAAGCUUGGAAGAAAAACGAGAGAAGGCUGGCAUAUUCUUUGUAGGGAUAACAACUUCUCAAGAGAUAUAGAGAGAAAUAGCCAUCUUUUGUGCUGUUCUGCAUUUAGUUGCCUGUAAUUAUAAGAAUAUUCUGUUGUUUAUUUCUCUCUAUAGGGUCCAACUAACAGCUGACCAUAGAAUCCCAAGCAGUUCUUGCAUUAGAAGUUCUGAAAUGAUUUUUUUUUCCAGUUAAGUCUUAGUAAAAUGCAUGAGUCGUCAGUGGUGACUUUUAGUCUGCCUUAUGCCCCACUUAUUAUUAGUUGAUCUCCCUUAGAAGGACACAAGUUAUAAUAACCAACUGAUUAGGUACGGAUUAAAUUCACCUUUAUAGCUUCUGUGGUGCAUUUCAAGCUAUAAAAAACCAUGCAUGUAUCUUUAUAGCAUGCUGUGCUUACUCCCAUGAAAAAUGACUGAAAUAUUCUGCGUUAUCCAAUAAUGUUGUAGAGUUGUGUUUAUUGAAGUUAAACAGAUUUGACAUCAUUCUGGAAUUAAUCAAACUCUUGUAUCUUACAGAGAGUUUUGUUGAUGAUCUUUAUUUUUGAGAGAAUUACUGAUGAUCUUUAUUGAGAUUGAAUAACCUAGUUAGAGUUGGAAAAUUUUAUAAAUCAUUAGAAUUCAAUGUCUCAGUAGACAUUAAUUCCUCUUGAUGGUUGUAAGGGAACCAUCAGAAUUUGAAGGAAAGACUACAGGUAGCCUAAUCACUUUUGCCUAAUCACUUUUAUUAAGAAAAUAAAAAGACCAGCAUACAAAUAACCAAGCAAAAAAAAUAAAUUAAAAGUUGAUUACAUGGAAGAAGGGUAAAGGGAAAGAGUCAUGAUACUGGAAUUGAUGCAAGAGCUAGAAAGGCAUGAUAAGAAUGAUGGAUCACUUAUUGAUUUAGUACUUUUCUUUACCUGAGAGAAUAGUCCUAGCAUUUUUCAUGCUGGAUAUUAUCAAGAUCUCUAAAUGCAUGCACUUAUAACAUUGCAAGCAAUAAAUUUUUUUCCUUUUAUCCUGAAAAUAUCCAUUUUAAAGGUCACUUGUCCUUAAAUUUUUUGUAAAAAAAUGUCAAUUUUGAAGUCCAUCUGAUCACCCAAGAACAAAUCUACUUUGGGCAUUGUUUAUCCUAUUUAAGUGCUCAUGAGUCAUUUUGUUUCACACGAGACUGAAGCACUGAAAGCAGAGAUCUUGAAAUUGGAGGAAAAUGAAACUAAGUUAAGAGGGGAAAGAUGGAAAAAAACUUUUAUGGAAGAAAAUGACAGCAAAAUUAUCUAGUACAUAUUUUGAUUGCUAUAAGCUAUUUAUAAGAAGCUUUUACUUCCCAUUCAUCGGUUUCAAAUAAUAACAGUUCCAGUUGUCAUAACUUAUAAUCAAGAUGCAUAAAAAGUAAGAAUUAAGGAGAAUGGCAUUUCCUUCAGAGAAUAGUUAUACAAAGUAAUCAUUAACAUAAAUGCCGGCACCUUUAAUGCAGGAGCAUGCAUGUCAUGAAAUUAAAGCUAAGCAUCAACACGACAGACUGAUUUUUCUCUACCAAGACCUUAAAUUCCCCCAAAAGAUAAAUGCAGUCCGAAUUGAGUAUACAACUAUUAAUGUUGCAAACUCAAACAGAUUCCAUGCCAUAUUUCUUACAACCACAUCGAUCAUAUAAUUACCUGAAUAAUUCUAAAUUAUUCCUUCCUAAAUUCUAUUAAAACUUAUCGUGAUGCCAUUUACUGAAAUGAUAUGUAUCUUUUCUCUUUUUUUUAAUUCCAUGUGAGCGAUCUCUUAAUGGAUAUUCAUCAUGAACUUUUGCUGAACUUAUGCCAUUUACUGUUCUUUUUGCUUGCCACAUGCAACAUAAAAGCUAUAUAUAAGAUAAAGCUAUGAACAAAUACCUAUGAACAAAUACCUUUAAUUUCAAACUUCUAGCUACCCAAUAAGCGGUUGGUGCCGUGGUUCCCAUCGCCCCAAGCACCACUAGACCCUGCAAACUGCCCACUAUAUGGCUUGUUCCUCAUGGCUGAUGCAUUCAUGUCUGUUCCUUGCUGCAUGGCAGCCAUCACAGACUGACCGUUGUGCCCCAUCACCAUAGGUUUUCGUUCCCGAUCCUCAUGAGCAUCAUCUUUUAUCACCCCCUGCGCUAACCCCUGCCUCCCACCUCCGCCGCCACCGCCGCGAACCACCCCAUACCAGAGCCCUCUGUUGCUCAUAGAUUGAUAACGAGACAGCUCCGCCUUAGCGGCUUCGAGUUGAAGCUGCAGUCCCCCGGAGAUGCUGCCGAAGAAGAGUGAUGAUGCCAAGGCUGCCAAACGCAGGGUUGCGCAGGCGCAUUUCAGCCUCAUAGGCCAGCGAGUCAGCUGCAGCCGCCCUCUGGUGGGGCUGCAGCUCAGCCAGCAGCUUCCCCACAUUGCUGGUGCCAUAUACACGGUGCACAUUCAUGAACUUUUGAUAUUGGUUCUGCGGGAAGACGGGCGCAAACACACAGCCCGGCGGGCACCUGCGCCGCGACCGCUUGCAUGCUGCGCAGGGCGCGCAGGCCGCCUGCCGUGGUGGUGAAUCAGUCGAGGUCACCGAUGAGACUGGGGAGCCUUGAACGUUGUUGUCCGACAUAGAUUGGUCCUGCACUCAACAUGAGCAAUAUAUAGAAAUUUUACCAAGAAUGUUAGUAUAUUUCAAUAUGAAAACAGAAGCAAUACAAUUCUGCAGAUAUGCAUUGUAUAUCACGCUAAGCAUCGCAAACAAAUGGAAAGGAAAUGAAAUGGUUAAUGAAAUAUGUCAAAGAUGAGAAGGAAAAAGAAAAAGGUUUUGGAAAGAUAUGGCCAUAGAUCUAAACGUUUAAAGAAAAGCUCAUCAGUCAUACCUUUGAAUCUUUUUAACCAAUAUAAUUAGGAGCGAGGAGAAGAUGCAGAUAUCUAUCUCAGAGAAAUCUGCAAAAGAAGGGAAGGGAUAGGCAAUAGAUUAGCUCGAUGACAUAUAAACGAAUAUAAGGUUAUAAUAUUUCUAAUCUCGCUGUAAUAUUAUUUGCUACUUUUUUUAACCUAACAAAUAGUUAUUUUAGAGUUAUCAGCAUAUUUCUGGCUGUACGAAAGGAGGGAAGCAAUAGAUUAUUUUUUUUCCCCCUCUCUCUCUCUCUCUCUCUCUCUGAUCUUUCAAAGGAUGAGGUGCAAUGGAUUAGCUUAUGAUAUAUCCAUGUAUAAAAAGGUUAGAACAUUUCUGAUCUCGCCGUAAUUUUUGCUUCCUUUGUGAAGCUAACAAAUAACAAGAGAAAUAGAUUGAAGAAAAAAAAAAAGAGAAACUAAUCCAUGCCUAGACGGAGUUGUAUGUAGGCAUUUCACCUCCCAAACUUUUGCUUUCUUCUUCACCUCCUGAAUCGCGUCUAACGCUCUAUAACUUGUGGGCGUUUACCACCACCAUCUUCCUCUCUGGUCUGAUAGCGUCAAUGAAAGAAGACAGAUACGAGACCAAGACACGGAAGAAGAUAUGGAAGAUGGCGGCCGAAGGAUAUAUCGAGGGAAGAGAGACAGGGAGAGAUUCACUUAAAUGGACGAGUGGACGGCUGGGACCCGCUUCCUAAUUUGAUGUUGUAAAAAGAAGGUAAAUUAACACAAAAUCUAAGGAACCAUUAAAUGCGUAUAUAUCCGAUAUGAUUGGCAUGAUAUUUCUUUCUCCGCUGGUUUCCACUUCAGUGUUUCCAUAUUCAUAGGUCGCAUGGAGAACGGAGGAACAAAUUAUAUAUGGAAAUUUUGACUUGUAGAAAUAGAUGAAAUAGUUAUGCGGAAGAAUGAGUUUAGGGGUUAAAUAUAGAAAUUAUAGAAUAUAAAGCAAAAUUUUAAGGGUCUUCAUGACCCUAAAUAUGAUAUGUUGUAAUCUUAUUUAUGAUAUUCUAAUUAUGUUUCAGACUUUUAUAAAUCUCUUGGGAAGGAUGAGGGUUAUACAUAUACAUAUGGACACGUUCUCUAGUUUCUCCAUAAAGAUGCAUUUAGGUUUAUAUUCUAAAAUAUUUCAUCAAAUAAGAAAAGAAUUUAUAUAUUUCCAAGACAUCUUAAUCAUGUUGAUCUUAUAUGCUCAAAUUAAAAUAUUUUUUUUAGCAAUAUCCAGAAUUUGUAACAUGGACCUCUUAAAGGAAAGGCCUUAAGGGUGACUCAUGUGAUGCCAACCAACGGAGCAUAUAAUUGUUGGCAAAUUAAAGUCAAAUAUGACAGACAUGAUAUUAUAGUAAAGUUUAGGUCAGAUUCUCAAUCCAUGAAGCUGUUGGGCCUCUUUGUAUCAUAGAUUUGCAAUAGUAAUUUCACUAUUUAUGAUGCAGUCAUGUACCUAAUAAUGUCUAUAAUUAAUUAAAUUUAUGCUGGAGCAUGAUAAUCUAGAAAAAAUGCAUGAAAAUUCUAUUUGUCACGCAUAUGCCACAAGUUUGAAGUAACAUGCUUGUGGGUCUCAUUAUUUACCACAAAGUUAUAUUACCUUGAUAAAAAGCAAUUUUAUAGUCAACUCAAAUCAUUCAUUAUGUAAAAUAGUUAGUAUUAGGUGUAUGCCAUAAUUCACCUUGCAACAAUUUAGAGUCAACAAGCUCUGACAAAUAGUAGCAAGUGUUUAACACAAAUUGGAAGAUCCAAACCAUUGUCGAGAGAGAGGGGACAUCUCCAUGGCCCCCAUUUCGUCUCCUCUUCUUCCUUCAUUAUGUAAGAAUCGUCUAUCCUCUUCUGUUCUCUUCCAUGUGUAAACACCUUCCAUUUUUCUCACGAUAUGUUGUUGCUUUCUCCUCUCAUGCACCUCCCACACUGGCACCAUCAAGAGCCACCUCUACCACCUCUCCUCUCUCUCUCUCUAGAACCAACCACCCCUUUGCUUGCUCUUUGUCUCUCUAUUCACCUAUCUCACCCCACUUCUUUUUAUUUUAUUCUCCAUUGAAGUCUCUAAUAUUUUCUCAUAUUUUCCCCUAAUUUAAUGGGUAAUUGGGUUUGUGUAGGAGGUGAGCAACUAUUUUUGGCAAGAAGAUGGCUAGUUUGAUGUCUUGAUAUUUGUUUGGCUUCUAAUUGAGGUGAACCCUAGCCUCAUCUUAUUUAAAAUUGUAUAAUAGUUUGGAUUUAUAGUAGAUUAGAGAAACCCUAGAAUUAGUGCUGGUCUUUGGAGACAAGAUUCGGGGUUAGAGAUGCAUGAUGAUGUUUACAACAAUUAAUUAAGCCAUAUAAGGUAAAUGGAGAAAUUAUCUCAGACGAAGUCGAGGAUGUUGAUAGGCGGACGUUCUUUUCAUGAAGUAAGCAAUUUUUACUAGAUGUUGAUGCUACUUCAAUUCAUUAUAAUUAUAUAUUACUGACUUGGGUUGCACACAACAUAAUUAAGAUAAGUACCUCUCCUACAUGCUCUCUUGUAUUUUAUAAAUGUUUAUUUAUAUAUGGAUAUGUUCACUUUAAAGAAAGUGAUCGAUCAUUUUCCCAAUGAAUGGCUCUAAUUUUAAAAUUAUUAUGGUAAAAUAAGAACUCUUAACUUGGAAUUUAUUUAGAAUUUAUGAAUUAAACAUUGUCACACUUGAAAAUUUAACAUGUUUUGUCUAAGAUAGGAAUCAAAGUGCUUGAAUUGAUUUUAAGCUUUGAAUUAGUCACAUAUUAUCAAUACCUCGAUAUGAUCUAGAAAUAUGACAAUAUCGACAAACCGUCAUACGAUAGAAAUGAGACAAUAUUAGUGCUUCAUCAUGGGGCUGGAAACAUGGCAAUGUCUACUACCGAAAAAGUAGAAAAUGCCGACAUAUACAUGCUAAUGCUAGGUAGAGGUGUCCGUAAUUUUGGCUUCAACACCAAAAUUUGCUGGCGCUUCCAAGUAACAUCAGCAAGCAUGAAAAUACAACGACGCUAACUAGUGUUGUGGAAAGUACGACACUUAUUAGCAUCAUUGGAGGCUAAGAACUGAAAAGAGGAAAAAGAGCAGACGACGCUUAAAAGCAUCAUCGGAAUCCUACGCUAACUUUCAUGCCCAACACUACUCUAAAACGACGCUUAGAAGCGUCAUCGGAAGCCUGAGACCUAAGACGACGCUUAUAAGCAUCAUCGGAGGGUUAUAGCAUCGUUCUAACAUAUACUUGCCGCCACCACCCUUGAUCUCAUGCAUCUUCGGUUUUGCCACCACUCGCCUCUCUAUCUAUCUCUAAACUACAAAAUAGGUCCAAUGUUUCUCAAAUAACAUUAAUACAUUUAUGAAUAAGAAGUAAGAAAAAAAUUCGUCAGAUAGAUAAAAGAAAGAGUAGAAAGGAUAUAUAUAUCAAGCAAUUAAAGUAGGGUUGAUGGGGUGGCAUGGACUUGUCACCAGCUGCUUGACAUAUGCAACCCUAAUUUAUGAUAAAAGAUUGGCCAACUCCAAGGAAUGGUCCCCUAUAGUGAUUGAGUAAUGGAACUGCUAUUGACUAGCUUUUCAUGUCCCUUGCCUUAAGCUCCCCAAGAAAAAACCCUAUUCAAGGUGCAGUUUAUAUUAGUUGACACUUAUUUUUCAUUUGCAAUUGCCCACAGUGCAUGCUCCAUGGGUUAUGAAGCGGAUGUAAUGGCACAAGUAACAGCCCUUAUGCUUGCACCUGAUUUGAAUUGAGUUACCGUGUUUCAAAGAUUGUCAAAUAAUCUCCACAGCUUAUUCUAUGUGAAUCACAUGAUAUCCUGUUCUUGCAGCCCAAGUUGGUACAUAAUAUUAUAGUGCAAUAUUUUUUUGACGUUGGUUUGUCAAUGCUGAUAUCUACUGAAUACACAUGUAAAGAUCUAAUUAUUCAUUAUAACAUGCAAUGAUCUAGACUUUGUAAAGAGAUUAUAGAGUUUUCUUAUCCAUGGCAUGAAAGGCAACUCCUUGAAACAAAGCAGCUAUCAUUAGGAGCUUCAAAUAUCCUGAUGGGACUUUUUUCAGUAUCUUUUUAUACCAUUCAAGAUUUGUAUGGAUGUGUACAUGCACACAUGCAUGUUUGAGUAAGUGAGAGAGAGAAAGGAGAGAGAGAGAUUGAGAGAAAGAGAGAGAAGAUGAAGAGGAGGAGGAGGAGGAGGAGGAGAAACAAAAUAUACUUGUAACUAUCUUACACAAGCUAAGAAAUAAUAUUCUAGAAUCAUUAAUUGGCAAUCCUCUGGUAGGCCCUAUAAAAUUAUUGUCUUAUGGACAUAAAAAUUUCAUGCAUUCUUGCAUUUAUUUUAUUCCUGACAAAUUGCAUUCUGGGUUUGCACGUAAAUUCUUGGCUUGCACUUAAAUGCCAACUAAUUGCAAUCAUAUAGGACUAAAUCAAACCAACAAAUUCUCUCGUAAUCUUAAAAGAAAACGAGAAAAAUAUUCGCAAAAAUAGAAGGAAGCUCAUGUCUAAGUUAUGUUGAAAAUCACAAAGUGGUGUGGCUCUUCUUGAUUUCUACAUGUCAGUUUUACAUAGGAACCAAUUAAACCAACCAUGAUGGUCUUGGUUUAAUUACUCAUAAAUAAAUUUUCCUUAUUUUUUGCUUAAAUCCCAAUCUUGCCUAGGUUUCUUUGAUUUGAUAUAAACCAAGGAUCACCAGCGUGCCUACUACUUUGAACCUGUAACAUGAAACGUAUGAGUAGAGUUCCUAACCUUCAGAUGAAAUAUGUGGAACUAGCCAUAUCACAAGUGGCACAUUUGUCUAUAUAUGUAAAUUGAAGUUAUUGAAAACAUGUACUAUUUAUGUGGGAGAGAGUCUAAUAAUUCAUUAUAUUAUAGGGAGCAAGAAUGUCAUUGACAAAGUUAUAAUGCAAUCAACUAUUCCAUGUAAUAAACUAGUCAUUGUUGUCUUCCAGUGACGAUAUAUAUAUAUAUAUUUUUUUUGAAGGAAAAGGUGAAAAAUACACCAGUAUUUUAUUGAGAACUAAAUAAUCACAAAAAUAGACCAGAAGGUGAUCCAAGAAAAGUAGAGAAAAAAGAAGACAACAAAUAAAGGGUCAUACAACCCUAUGAAGGAUGUAGGCCACCAGCAAAAUAAACCAAACUCUAAAUACCAAACAAAAGAAAGCACAAUACUAUCCAUACUGAAAGAUAAACACACUAACAUCAGCAAGAAUUUUGGAUUAUUUAUAGUUUUUCCUUUGGUUUGAUUCACUGGUCGAGGAGUGAAUUUUACUAAUGAAAAUCUAUUGUUUUCCACAACCUAAAUACCUAAGACACUUACAGAGAAUCUCUUAAUCACACUCUUUUACGAAAUGAAGUCUUGCACAUAUAUAUAGCUUCAAUGUAUAACUGUCAAUUGGCAGUUUAAGAGUUGGAGAGAUGUCUAUGGAAAAACAUCUCUUUUGGACACGGAAGAUCAUGUCUUUUGGUUAACUGGUUAGGUUGAACCUUCAUGGGUGGACCGAACCGGUUUUUCCAACACGUUCAAAUUAAACCAAGGUCCAAAAUUCUAUCAAGAACUUGCAACAAUAAUAGUCUAGAUCAAGCAAAUGAGAAUGAGGCAAAGUCCACUCUAGGGAAAACCCUAAACAUUUCUUGCAACAACACCAUCUUCAUUCUCUUUGACCAUCAUCAUUUUCUUCCACUUUAAAGAAUUACUGAGUUAGGAACUGAAAUAACUGUAGAUAACGAGAAAAAGAAAAAGCCCAAAAGAUUCAUCUUUGUUUCCCCAUGAAUAAUGCUAUCAUAUCUCUCCAUGGCAUAAUUCUAUAAUAUCUCUUUAUAUGUUUUUUCUAUUGAGUUGAAGUAUCACUACCAGUAGCCACAAUGAUACCUCGCCACUAUGGUAUGGAUCGACUUUUAGUCUUCUUGAUGCCAACACAACAAAUUAGAAGUGACAUACCAACUGGUACACAUCGGUAGUUAAAUACUUGCCACCACUCUCUACAAUAAAAUUUUCUUGUUGUAUAUAAAAUAAUGACAGUCUCUAAAACCAUUACAACAGCCACGAUAACAUAAUAGCCAUUAUUCUGAACUACACUGGUUAGUGUAAACCAAUAGGAUUGCUUCUGUUUAACGAUUAAUUACAUGAGCUAGUAUUGGAUAAUAAUGAAAAGUUGAUUGGAGCUAGCAUUGCCACUAAAUUAUUAUUUCUUAAUAUGCAAUGACUGUAACAACCAAGAAAGAAAAAUAGUUCUAAUGUUGUACCGAGAUAACUUUUAGUCUUAAAUCACACUGCAUUAUUAAACAAAACAGAGUUCAAUAGUUCAUGCACAUGCCAUGAAAAAGGAUUUCAAACAAGCAAUGUCACUGUAACAAGCACAUGAGGGUGAAAGACCCUCAAUUUAUUCUGGAACUGGCAAUACUUUUAAGCAAAACUCAUGUCUUUUUCUGUCACCAUGUCCAUAUUAUUCCUCAAACCUGAAAUUACACAUUAACAUGUUUAGCUGCAUAUUCCUCUCGAAGAAACAUAUUAAGCAACAUUUAGAAGUAACAGUUUCCAACCCAGAACAAUGCAAUGCAAUUAGCUAAAAACAUAUUUAAAAUGUAAUGUAACUUAUCUUCUGAAAAACCUAUGAGAACUAUUCUCUCCUUCCGUUUUUGAAAAAUGUCAUAGGUGGAAUCCUUGAUUUACUCAAAAAAAAAAAGAUCUUCUGAAGAAUAUCAAUCACUUCAGUCUUAGAGAACCCUCCCAAAAGCUUAUUUUAAGAAACAAAGAGUCAUCAUAAGUACUGAAAAUUCAAGGCAUUCUCCUUUUAAAUAAUGUGGUAUUCAGUAAUUGGGUACUAAGAUAUUUGAAGCCAAUAAAAAUAUUAAUCUUCUUUUAAAAAAAAUAUACGAGGACAAUAAUUUCUGUUUAAAUAGAACAUCAUAGCCAACAAGGGAAAUCAUAAGGCUUUUUCAGAUUAAAUUGUCUUGAUAGGUACUUCUUUGCGAUAACUAUGUGACAUAGUCUAUGUCAUGAUGAGUAUUGCAUGAUGUACCAUUUCUGUCGGAGUGUUUGAUAGGGACAUGUAUAUAGUAAUUUAUAAGUCACAAUCAAAAUACUGUUGUAUAACAUGGGGAAUAAUUUUAGAAGGUCAGAAAAACUGAUUGCAUAGCAUGCCCAACUGUAGAGCAUACAACCACCAACCACCUUCUUUCCACCCUUAACCAUUUUUUGCUAUGAAGUGCACCUAGCUAUCCAAGUUCGAGCUAAAAUUUAAUAAUAUAUUAAUCAUCCUAUUCUAGUGUAAAAACAAAGUUUAUACAAAUCGCUUCUUCAAUUAGACUUGGUCUUUCAAAAUCUGUCCAAGAUGGGGCCGGCAUCAUUCAGUUGCAUACCAUUAUGCCAUAAAUGUUAUCACAAGUACUGUUGUUUCAGUAGAAUAUGUCUCCAUAUAACUCUCGUUCGCUAAAUAGCAUGCAGCUUGCUCUCUCUUAAUAUUUAUAAUUUGUAUUCAUAUAAUUAAGUUUCACUGUUCUACUGUCAUCAAAUGCAAACAUUGCGUUCUUUGUAGCUAGCCUAGGCAUGUGGCUCCUCAUUUCUUUAGUGAAUCGCUAGUGCUAAGGAAAUAUCAUCAUUCAUUUAUAUAUCCAAGCAAAAGAAGAAAAAGAAGAAGAAACAAGUCCUGAAAAAUACCGGUUGUUGUCCCCAGAAGAGCUUGGUGCCCCAUGCUGACCACCAGGUGGCACGAUUCCUUCCCCAGGGCCAGAGGCAGGUGGCCUCCUCCCGGUCUGGCCGCCAGGGGGUUCAUUCACGCCGGCCAGCCCGCCAUUAGUUGGCCAUUGGAUCAGAUCAUAGAUGCUGAGCGGACGUUGUCGGGGCCGCUGUCGAGCAGCAAUCUGAUUUCUCAGAAUCGAAUUGCUGACUUGUAGAUCGACCACUUCAUUCUGGAGUCUAAACAUGGCAUCGAGGGCUUCACGCUCACGGUUUCGAAGGCGAAGGAUUGCAGCGUAUACCAGUGAAUGUGCUGCCGACGUCCACUGCCCUCGGUCCAACAGCCCAAGCAUUCUCGCCGCAUGCUGGGCUCCGUAAGCCAGACAUAAAAAAUCAAGGCAUGUCGGCCUGUCGCCUGGGAAGUGCAGCGCAAAGGGGCAGUCCCGGCGGCACCUCUGCCGCAGGUGAGCGCACACGGCGCAUGGCGCAUGGCGCACCGGGGGCGGAGGGGAGGAGGAGUCCAUGGAGGAUUCAGUGGUGAUGUUCGACAUAUUUGCUCCUGGCGAGGCAUAUAAAAUGGAUAUGAAAUCUGAACUGAACUGCUUUUUUAAGACAGGAAAUGUCCACGUAUAGAUGGAGAAAAUCUGGUGAUGAUUUUAACGUGAAUAACGGAAAUUAAAGAAAUCCAAGAAAUUAAUCUAAUAGACAUGUGUCUGAAGAGGAGAGAUCUGUGCAUAAAAGAAAAUUGAUAAAAUAAAAAUCUAGCAUAAAUAUAUAAGCUGUAUUAAAAAAAAAGAAAAAACGAAAAGGAGAAUCAUCACUGUAAUGAUUUGUUGUAGAAUCAGAUUCUGACUUCGACUCAAGCGGAAUUUAUGACAUGUAGUUUUUCAUAUCUAAAAAAGAAAUCCUGGCCGGAUACAAACACACAGGCACAGGCGCGCGCGCGCAGAGAGGAAUAGAGAGAGAGAGCCAUCUUAUUCCUUCUUUGCUGUAAUCUAUAACUGUUUUUCUUUUCUUUUUUUUGGUUCAGUGAGAAAGCCAUCAUUUAGAUGAUUGGUCGCUGAAUUAUUUUCAGAUGCUGAGAGAGCUGAACUUUCCCUCCUCUAACAUAAAGGAUUUCAGGACAUUUAAUUAGAACUCUAUAGAUUUCUAUCAAGAACGUGGGCAGAAUUAGAUUUGUUGUCUUUUUUAUUAGUGUAGCUCACAAAAAUUCAAUAAGAAGUCAACAUAUCUAAUCCCCUCCCCGAGUAAAAAAAAGAGAACUCAAAUCCAACAUAUAACAACUGAUACCUUAUCUCUCUAUAAAAAAAAGAAAAGAAAAAAAUAACAACUGAUGAUACCUGCAGACGGUCAUCCCAUAUGUAUUACCUUUCUCGGCCUUCUUCGGCUCGUGACCACUGGUUUUUCCUUCUCUUCACCGGCGGGUGGGAGACAAAGCAAUGGGGACAGAGGAAAGGGAUGGGAUUGAGGGGAUAUUUAUAGUUGGGGAUUUUACCCUAAUUUUCCUUCUUUUGAUGAAGUAUUAUUUAUGAUCGGAGUCUUCCAGGACAUUCAAACCAGCAACAUUUCUUUCUUACCAAAAUUUUUUGUGUGUCAAAAUUAAAUGAUUGCCAGCUCAUAGUGGAUACGGAGCAAAAUAACUACAAUAUAUCUUUAAUGAGAUGAUAAUUAUUUCCUGUUUAAGGUAUCCCAUACAUUCAAUGCAACGGCAUCGAGGCAUAUCGCAACAAUAAAUGAUUAAACAUCAAAAAAAUAUGCUGACAAGUUAAAAAAAGGACUGAUAUGAUGUUUUGUCGGUUCUUUUGCUGAGGGCGAGGUGGUCUGGUUUGGUGGUGAUAUUGGCUGUCGUCUUUGUAGGCCUUCAAUUUUCUAGAUAAAAAUGUGGAUGGAUGGCAAAGAUUUUUCUUAAAAAAAAUGAUAGAAAAAUAUGAAAAAAAGAGGGCCAAAAUAUGUAAUAUGGGUGUUAUAGGAGAUAGAAAAUAAUUUAGUAAUAAAGUGUUAGGAGAGAAGAGGAUCAACUGUGGCUGCUAGACAACAUAGGUGUCUAAAAAUUUGCAUGGCUUUAAUUGUUGUUUGUGCCAUGAUAUUAACAACAAAAGUGUUGCUCUCCGAGUGUAAUAACCGAUGUGUGUAUUUAUACUAUAUAUGUAUGUAAAUAGAUAGAAAGAUAGAUAGAUAUAAAGACAUACAUAUAUAGAUAUAAACACAAACAAACAAAUAUACAUACAUAUAACUAGUAAUAAUUUUGCUAUUAGAAGAUAUGGGUGACAAGUUUGAAUGAAUUUGUGAUUGCGUUGUAAUGUCAACGAUUUCACUCUCUAUGGUGUAAUCAUUAUUCAAGGUUUGCGCCUGCAAUAAGUUCAUAAGUUCAACUUACAUACCUCUAGAUGAAUGUGGUGAUCUGGUUCAUUAAGUUCAAGGUAGCUUGAACACAAGGCUAAUGAGUUGGGAAGGAUUGAUUUGUUCAUUACAUUAAUGAUUUUAACAAUGACAAUUCUGCUACAUUAGGUGCAAUGAAAAAUUAGAGUCCAUGUUAGCAGGAAAUAGUGAGCAAUAAUCAAGUUAAUAAUAUGUUCGAAAAAUAUGUUCCUCUGAAAAAUGUGAUACUUUUAGUAUGGCUUGUUUAUACUUAGGGUUUGUCUAGAUAUGACUUACAACUUUCCCUU